UCUACUAAUUUUACCCCAAAAGCCAUGGACAGGAUGCAGCCCAAACAACGAGCCAUGUGAUACGCGUGCAGCAAAGUGGGGGAAAGGACAAUUCCGGAACGAGGCCAACCACAAGCAGAGGACAGCAGGCCUACCACACACGAGAAUGGCAAAAGUUUGGAGGUGAAAUCAUACCAUACCAUACCAUGCUUGCACGACGGAUCGGGUUAACAACCAUCGCCGGCACAAGUACAUACUGUACAAUACAAUCAUCACAUACUUGAAGCAGAGAGAGUCUUGGCUCAGUGGUUGGGUAUGUGGUUGUGCAACCCAACGACCCGAGUUCAAUCCUAGAAUUGACAGGUGAUGCAUAGGGGUUUUCCCCUGUUUAUUAAGGAUCAAAACUUGAUGUGUGGUGGAACCACUCAUCAAGAAAUAUCUUGAUACUCAUUUAAAAAAUUCUGAGGACCAUGUUUAUUUUGAUACUCAUACUAAAAUGGCCGUAUGCAUCCUUAGUUGGUGCAGAAGCCGGGAAGUGAAAGUCUCCCCUUUUAAAGAAACCUGGCGAUGAGGGGUGCGACCGCCGGGAUCCCCGUGGGGCCUCCGGUGAGCGACGACGGGUGGGGGGCCGGUUUUGGGCCCUUGCCGACGCCGACGAGGACGAGGGGGAUGAGGAGGCGGAUGCGGCGCCGCCAUCUCCGCCUACACCGACGCCUUCCGAUUUUUUGUCUGAGUUUUUGAGUGCAGGUUAUGAUGAAGAUGAGGUUGCCUCUACCGUCGACAAGGUCUUGCCCCUCGAUGAUCCGGCUAGGGUCGGGCUUCAUGCGGGAGAGACCAAGGAGAUAUUGCGUCGAGUGGUUCACCGGAGAACGGCGACAGCGGCGAUCCGGCCGUGGAGGGCCCCUUGCCUAAGGUACGUCUACCAAACUUAACUGUUUUCGAUCUGAUUCGGCCGGAAUCAUGGACUACGGUGACAAGGAGAAAGAGUGCUCGCCGAGCAGGGCCUCGAUCGGCACCGGAGGUGACCGCGGCAGCGCCGCCGGCGGUCACGGCGAUCCGGAUCAGGGCGGCUCGCCAGGAGCGUUUGAAUUCGCUCCUGGGCCGAGACGAGUUGCCCAAUGUUGUUGGACCGGUGAGUUUUAGUGGGCCGGGGUCCGUUGGGUAUGAGGCCCAGCAGGAAUCGGUACUGCUCGAUAACGAGGGAGUCGAGGCAUGCAGUGCGUUCAGAUCGACGUUGCCGUCUCCCUCACCGCACCCUAGGGUUUUUGUUCGUCGGACUCCGCGACUACGCUCCGUGGGGCGUGGUGGAGCUCCGCCGCCCGGAAAGAAACUGGUUGCGCCUGGCGGGGUGAGCCCGCUGGUGGGGCGCCGCCACCGGGUGCGGGCAGCGGCCGGGGCGUUGCGCCCGUGCCGCGACUAUCGCUGGGCGCGGUGGUGUGAUUUUUGCUGCGGGCCGUGGAGUUGGCGUCUCUGGUGGGGCGCCCAAUGCUGCGGCGGGUCGCGGCGCUGGCAGGCUGCCCGCUGCUCGGCCGCCGGCGCCGGGUCCGGUGGUCGUGCCUUCGGCUGGGCGUGGAGGGCCGGUCCUCGGUCCUCGUCCGGUGGCUCCCGGCAUAGCUGGGCGGGGGGCGCUGCGGGCCGCAGUGCCGCCCCGCCCAGGCCACCUGCGCCAGGGAUUCACGGGGUGACAAUGGGCCCGCAGUCUUGGCCUGCCCUGCCACCUCAUUUCAUUACCCGGCUGCCUCAGAAUCGGGCUGCGCUGGUGCUGUCGCAGGCACCGCCGCCGAAACAGCGCCGUUGGUGGUGCUUCAGCUACGCCCCGGGGUCAAUGGGGGGGAUGACGGUUAUAAUGCCUAUGGAGCUGGUCAGCACUGGGGUUCUUCGUCCACGGGUGGAGGUCGUGGAUAUUCUUGGCAGAGCGACGGUUCGGCAGAGAGGCCGUUUUUGGGUCCUACCAGUGGUUUUGUCGAGGGGGCAUCUGGCCCGGGAUAUUGGCAGCGGGGUGGUUUCCGCGGUCAUCGUGGUGCUCGUGGCGGUCGAGGUGGCUGGUACCGCCCACAACAACCUCCUCCGACCGUGGUUGUCGAGCAGACGACCGCUGGCGGGACUACCGAGGAGUUGGUGUUGACCGGUCAGGCUAUGGAGGUUGUGACGGCUCUCGCUAAUGUUCAGGUUCCUGAGAAUGAGACUAUGGGUGAUGUGUCCGUGGAAGUGCCGGACAGGGCUGAUUCAGAUAGGGCGUCCAAGUGGGCGCGCAAGAAGGAGAAAAUGCUAUGCUAUCAUUGUGGUGACAAGGGUCAUCUUAUUGCUGAGUGUGUGGCUGUGUUAUGUGAUACUUGUGGUAAGCCGGCACAUGAUUCGGGGGAAUGCCCGCUUCUACGAGAUUAGGCACCGUCUCUUAUGAUGUAUGGAGUGUAUUGUGUUGAACUCACGUUUUUUGAGUCUCCUAAUGAGAGGGAGGUUCCUGAUGAGGCCCAAAGCAUGACUACUGGGAUUGUCAAGGUGACCAGAGGAGAGGUGAUAACCCACAAGUAUAGGGGAUCGCAACAGUUUUCGAUAAGUAAGAGUGUCGAACCCAACGAGGAGCUAAAGGUAGAACAAAUAUUCCCUCAAGUUCUAUCGACCACCGAUACAACUCUACGCACGCUUGACGUUCGCUUUACCUAGAACAAGUAUGAAACUAGAAGUACUUUAUAGGUGUGAUAGGAUAGGUUUGCAAGAUAAUAGAGAGCACGUAAACAUAAACUAGGGGCUGUUUAGAUAAAGAAGCAAGAAAGUAAAUAUAAGUAGGGAGCUUUUUGUUAUGAGAAAGUUAUUUGUCCCUAGGCAAUCGAUAACUAGACCGGUAAUCACUAUUGCAAUUUUAUUUGAGGGAGAGGCAUAAGCUAACAUGCUUUCUCUACUUGGAUCAUAUGCACUUAUGAUUGGAACUCUAGCAAGCAUCCGCAACUACUAAAGAUCAUUAAGGUAAAACCCAACCAUAGCAUUAAAGUAUCAAGUCCCCUUUAUCCCAUACGCAAACAACCUUCUUACUCGGGUCUGUGCUUCUGUCACUCACGCCACCCACCAUAAGCAAAUCAUAAACAUAUUGCAAACCCUACAGCGGGGAUCCCUCACGCUUGCGCGACACGGAGAGCACCAUAGGACAACACCAAUAAUAAAACAUGCAACUCAAACCAAUCACGAUUAUCAAUUAACCCAUAGGACAAAACGGAUCUACUCAAACAUCAUAAGAUAGCCAUACAUCAUUGGGGGAUAAUAUAUAGCGUUGAGCACCAUGUUUAAGUAGAGAUUACAGCGGGUAAGAGAGAGGUUACAUUGCUGCAUAAAGGGAGGAAGAGUUGGUGAUGAAGGCGGUGAAGUUGUUGGUGAAGAUCGCGGUGAUGAUGAUGGCCCCCGGCAGCGCUCCGGCGCCACCGGAAGCAAGGGGGAGAGGGCCCCCCUUCUUCUUCUUCUUCCUUGACCUCCUCCCUAGAUGGGAGAAGGGUUUCCCCUCUGGUCCUUGGCUCCCAUGGCUUGGGAGGGGCGAGAGCCCCUCCGAGAUUGGAUCUAUCUCUCUGUUUCUGCGUUCUCUGCGUUCUACCCCUUCACGGUUUCCUUUAUAUCUGGAGAUCCGUAACUCCGAUUGGGGUGAAUCUUUCGCCCAGAUCUUUCUCAUAAAAUUAUCUUUCUUGCGCCAAAAGAAGAGUGUCAACCGCCUUACGAGUGGACCACGAGGGUCAGGGGCGCGCCUGGGGGGGUAGGGUGCGCCCCCCUACCUCGUGACCACCCCGGACACCGUUUCGCGUUGAUUUCACUUCCCAAAAAUCAUAAAUAUUCCAAAAAAAAUCUCCAUCCGUUUUUAUCCCGUUUGGACUCCGUUUGAUAUUGGGUUUCUGCGAAACAAAAAACAUGCAACAGACAGGAACUGGCACUGGGCACUGGAUCAAUAUGUUAGUCCCAAAAAUAAUAUAAAAAGUUGCCAAAAGUAUAUGAAAGUUGAAUAAUAUUGGCAUGGAACAAUAAAAAUUAUAGAUACGACGAAGACGUAUCAAGAGGUCUCCGAGACCCAGAUUGUGCAGAGGCUCUAGGACUUAGCCCCUGGGGACAUCCAGUGGGAGCUCAUCAGUCUCGCGGAUAAGAUGUUUAGGGUUGAGUUCCCUUUGGUGGAGGAUUUGUAGAGGCUUCUGAGUUUUGGGAUGUGCAAAGUGCCGGGUAUAGAUUGCAUCCUCGAGUUCCAUGAGUGGAAGAAGGUGAAGCCUCAGGGCAAGCCACUUACUCAGGCGUGGUUGCGUUUCUCCGGGGGCCGCUCGAAGCCGAUGCAGGAUGCUAGGGUCGUGGCUAGCUUGGGCAUUAUGGUGGGGAAGCCUGAGCGAGUGGAUACGACUUUUACCAGAGCUCACGGGAUUGCUCGUUUACUGGUUAGUAUUUUGGACAUUGAGUAUGUGCCUGAGGUCGUCAAGUGGACUUAUCGAGGCAAGAUUUAUAACCUUCUGAUUGAGUUUGAGGAUGAGACCCUAUUGGCCAAGGCAGCUAACGGGACUGACGUGGAUAUGCACGAGGGAGAUGACAGUGCGGGAGCGAAGGAGACUCCGGUCGAUGAUGCGGGACGACAAUUGUCCAAGGGACCGGGGUCCGUGUCUACGACGACCGAGGAUGGGGCGGUUCCACCCUCCUCGGUGCCUACGACGACUCUGAGAUUUGGGUCCGUCGAGCCUGCUUCUGCACCACCGAGGCUGUGGAGUGACCGAGUGGAGUCGGAUGAGGCUUUCGAGCUCGCAUUACCUGCUUUGGUUUUUGAGGAUGCUGUGAGUCCCACUCCUGGGGCUUCGACGGUCUCGGUCAGGGGAGAGGAGGAGGUGCGUAGGCAGGCGGCCACUCCCUCACGUGCUCAGCACAUUAUCUCUCCUCAGGACGUGGUUCUGGUGUUGGAGGCUUUGUUUUCGGGAGGGGUCCCGGGGCAGGCGGCCUCGGCUCUCUCUUCUCCUGUUGGGGUGCAGGUGCUGCAGGGGGCGGUACCACCUUCUAUAGGGGACUCGGGGCAGGUGGCACCCGUGUCCUUCUCUCCUCCAGUGCUGGACGAGGCCUCGGCAAUGGCGGCCUUACCUUUGGGAGGGGGGCCGAGGCAGGUGGCCUCGGAUCCCCCUUCUCCCGUCGCAUCAUCCGCUCUGCAGGUAGCGGCAUCACCGUCGAGAGGGGGCUCGGGGUAGGUGGCCUCAGAGCCCUACUCUCAUGGGGCGCCUAUGGUGGCCUGUUGGAAAUAUGCCCUAGAGGCAAGAAUAAAAUGGUUAUUAUUGUAUUUCCUUGUUCAUGAUAAUUGUCUAUUGAGGGAGUCCUGGAUUAGGGGGUGUCCGGAUGGCCGAACUAAGACCUUUGGCCGGACUCCCGGACUAUGAAGAUACAAGAUUGAAGACUCCGUUCCGUGUCCGGAUGGGACUUUCCUUGGCGUGGAAGGCAAGCUUGGCGAUAUGAUAUGAAGAUCUCCUCCCAUUGUAACCGACUCUGUGUAACCCUAGCCCUCUCUGGUGUCUAUAUAAACCGGAGAGUUUUAGUCCAUAGGAAAAAACAACAAUCAUACCAUAGGCUAGCUUCUAGGGUUUAGCCACUCCGAUCUCGUGGUAGAUCUACUCUUGUACUACCCAUAUCAUCAAUAUUAAUCAAGCAGGAGUAGGGUUUUACCUCCAUCGAGAGGGCCCGAACUUGGGUAAAAACAUCGUGUCCCUUGUCUCCUGUUACCAUCCGCCUAGACACACAGUUCGGGACCCCCUACCCGAGAUCCGCCGGUUUUGACACCGACAUUGGUGCUUUCAUUGAGAGUUCCUGUGUGUCGUCGCCUUUAGGCCCGAUGGCUUUUUCGCCCGACAAUCGCGAUGCGGUCCGGGAUGAGACUUUUCUCCCCGGACAGAUCUUCAUAUUCGGCGGCUUCGCACUGCGGGCCGACUCGUUCGGCCAUCUGGAGCAGAUCGAAAGCUACGCCCCUGGCCAUCAGGUCAGGUUUGGAAGCUUAAACUACAUGGCCGACAUCCGCGGGGACUUGAUCUUCGACGGAUUCGAGCCACGACCGGGCGCGUCGCACUGUCACGAUGGGCAUGAUUUAGCUCUGUCAUCGGACAACACCCAGACCGUCGCUCAGGUGUCCGCUCCGACCAUUAGCUCAGAGCCCACUGCGCCAGUCGGGGACGGACGGUUGGACGCCGCCCCGGAAACUGCAACCUCCACGGUGAUAGAGCCGGAUACCAGCCUAGUCCCUCGCAAGGCCCGUGACUCCAAGGUGCCAGACUCCGAUCCGGACUCCGUAAAUCCUGCACCUCUUCCGAUUAAGCCCGAUUGGGCUCUGGUCAUGGAGUUCACCGCCGCGGAUGUCUUUCAGCACUCGCCUUUCGGCAAUAUCCUGAAUUCGUUAAAGUCUCUCUCUUUGUCAGGAGAGCCCUGGCCGGACUACGGCCAACAUGGUUGGGACGCGGAUGACGAAGAAAUUCGUAGCCCACCCACCACCCACUUCGUAGCCACUGUCGACGAUUUAACCGACAUGCUCGACCUUGACUCCGAAGACAUCGACGGCAUGGACGCCGAUGAAGGAGACGAUCAAGAACCAGCACCUAUAGGGAACUGGAAAGCCACCUCGUCAUAUGACAUAUACAUGGUGGACACCCCUAAAGCGGGGGAUGGCGAGGAGAAAACGGAGGAUGACCCCUCCAAGAAGCAACUCAAGCGCCAACGUCAGCGGCGCCGCUCUAAGUCCCGCCAAAGCAAAAACGGCGAUUCUGGCACCGGAGAUAACAACACGCCAGACAGUGCCGAAGACAACCCCCUCUAGCAGGAUUCAGUGCAGGAGGAUGAAGGAGCCAGCCCUCAUGAGAGAGCGACCGACAAAGAGGAUGAGGACGACAAUUACAUACCUCCCUCCGAAGACGAGGCAAGCCUCGACAACGACGAAUUCGUCGUGCCAGAGGAUCCCAACAAACAAGAGCGUUUCAAACGCAGGCUCGUAGCCACGGCAAGCAGCCUCAAGAAGAAACAGCAGCAGCUUAGAGCUGACCAAGACUUGCUAGCCGACAGAUGGACCGAAGUCCUGGCGGCCGAAGAGUAUAAACUAGAACGCCCAUCCAAGAGCUACCCGAAGCGCAGGCUGCUACCCCAACUUGAGGAGGAAGCAACUAAUCCUACAUCACCAGUGUACGAUGCGCCCGAUCGGCCACCCCGUGGCCGCGAUAGAGAGGCCUUCAGUCCCUCAACCCAAGCCGCACCCCGACACCGCUCAAAACAUACCAGAGUACGGGGAGACGCAACAGACCUGCAAGACAUCUUGGAGAAUAAGGCAAGGCAAACAAGAACGAUCUACGGAUCGCAUGGGCGCCCCGCUUCACGUGACGCUAGCCAUCAUGCCGGACACAAUAAGUAUGGCCCAGCCGAAUACAACAGACCAAGCUCGUCCGAGCUGCAUCGUGAUAUAGCCCAGUACAGGGGCGCCGCACACCCACUAUGCUUCACAGACGAAGUAAUGGAUCAUCAAAUCCCCGAGGGCUUCAAACCCGUAAACAUCGAAUCAUACGAUGGCACAACAGAUCCUGCGGUAUGGAUCGAGGAUUAUCUCCUUCAUAUCCACAUGGCCCGUGGUGAUGAUCUACACGCCAUCAAAUACCUCCCGCUCAAGCUUAAAGGACCAGCUCGACAUUGGCUUAACAGCCUGCCAGCAGAGUCAAUUAGUUGUUGGGAGGACCUGGAAUCCGCAUUCCUUGACAACUUCCAGGGCACGUAUGUGCGACCACCAGACGCCGAUGACCUAAGCCACAUAAUCCAGCAGCCAGAGGAAUCGGCCAGACAAUUCUGGACAUGGUUCCUAACCAAGAAAAACCAAAUAGUCGAUUAUCCGGACGCUGAAGCCCUUGCAGCCUUCCGACACAAUAUCCGAGAUGAAUGGCUUGCCCGGCACCUAGGACAGGAAAAGCCGAAGUCUAUGGCAGCCUUCACGACACUCAUGACCCGCUUCUGUGCGGGAGAAGACAGCUGGCUAGCUCGUAGCAAUAACAUAACCAAGAGCCCUGGCAAUUCGGAUACCAAGGAUAACAACGGCAGGUCACGUCGCAACAAGCAUAAGCGCCGCAUUAAUGGUGACAAUACUGAAGAUACGACAGUCAAUGCCGGAUUCAGAGGCUCUAAACCGGGUCAGCGGAAGAAGCCAUUCAAAAGAAACUCUCAGGGCCCAUCCAGCUUAGACCGGAUACUCGAUCGCUCGUGCCAGAUACACGACACCCCCGAACAACCAGCCAAUCACACCAACAGGGAUUGUUGGGUGUUCAAGCAGGCAGGCAAGUUAAGUGCCGAGACCAGAGACAAGGGGCUACAUAGCGAUGACGAGGAGGGGCCCCGGCCGCCGAACAACAAAGGACAGAAGGGAUUUCCCCCGCAAGUUCGGACGAUGAAUAUGGUAUACGCAACCCACGUCCCCAAAAGGGAGCGGAAUCGUGCUCUCAAGGACGUCUAUGCGCUGGAGCCAGUCGCCCCAAAGUUCAACCCAUGGUCCUCCUGCCCGAUCACCUUCGAUCGAAGGGACCAUCCCACCAGCAUCCGUCACGGCGGAUUCGCCGCACUGGUCCUAGACCCAAUUAUCGAUGGAUUUCACCUUACCAGAGUCCUAAUGGACGGCGGCAGUAGCCUGAACCUGCUUUAUCAGGACACAGUGCGAAAAAUGGGCAUCGAUCCUUCAAGGAUUAAACCCACAAAGACAACCUUCAAAGGUGUCAUACCAGGGGUAGAAGCCAGCUGUACAGGCUCGGUCACACUCGAGGUGGUCUUCGGAUCCCCGGAUAACUUCCGGAGCGAGGAGUUAAUCUUCAACAUAGUCCCAUUACGCAGCGGCUAUCACGCCCUGCUCGGACGAACUGCAUUUGCAAAAUUCAAUGCGGUGCCGCACUACGCAUAUCUCAAGCUCAAGAUGCCAGGACCUCGCGGAGUCAUCACGGUAAACAGAAACACCGAACGCUCUCUCCGAACGGAGGAGCACACGGCGGCCCUGGCAGCGGAAGUACAGAGUAGCCUCUCAAGGCAGUUCUCCAAUCCAGGCGUCAAACGUCCGGACAACAUCAAGCAAGCCCGAAGUAACCUACAACAAAUCCGGCUGGCACAUUUCGAGCAAGCAUAGCAGUGCGGCCCCAACCCCAGCCCCCGCCAAACGGCGAUACUGGUACCACGCGUACAUAAUUACGCCUUAGAGAUACCAUGGGCAUAAGGGGAGGGGCACAACAAUGGCACGCCCAGAAUGCGGCUCAACCGCACUAAGGGGCUCCCUAUUUCGCCGUUUUCCUUUUCACACACUUUCAGGACCCAACUAUUCGGAAGGCCUGUCCGGCAAUACACUCGCCGAACCCACGGUGCAACAACCAGGGAGGAAGCAAGCCACGUCAAAAGUCCAGGUGGUCUCUAUAACGAGUUUAAUACCUAUUUUACUUACAAUCCCGCAGCUUGCCCCUGGAGGGGAAUAUGUCAAAUACUCCCAUCUCUUGCUUACCGCACUUCUUGUAUCGUUCUGCUUUUGCAACAGCCCUUUUUUAAUAAACAAUAUAUAGCUCUUACCUAUUAUUGUACUUAUCUAUUUUUAUAUAUACAAAUAUGUUCAGUCAUGACAUUCUGCAACCGUACACUUUGGUACGGAUAAUACACCAGGGGCUUACAACACCCUAUAACAUGGUGUGAGAAGACCGAACACUCUAACGAGUGCGGCACCCCGAACUUAUAGCACUAUAUGCAUCGGCUCCGAAUCAUGUCUUUGGUCAAUAGUUGGGUUUGCCCGGCUCCCAUGUUUUGGUACCUUACGUUCCACAUUGUUGGCUAAGGUAGCGCUGGGAGAACUACUACGAUUGUGCCCCAGUUGAGCUGGGUUAACACCUCAGUAGAGAAAGCUAAAACUGACUGUCAUGAUAGUGCGAGAGACCAGUCGUUGUUCGCGAGGUUUCUUCGAGUCCUUAAAGACUUAUGCCGCUUCGAGCAUGGAACCGGACUGAUCCGGCCUAGGCAUGGAUAGCGCCCCAAACUCGGUCUUCCGAAUACUAGGGUCUUCGCUGAAAUUUAAAAUUAUAGAAUUCUAUGGCUAAGUGAGAGUGAUAAAGCAUUAUAAGUCCGACGGCCUGGUUCAUUGUGCUGAAUGCCUCCCUAGAUGGACCCAAGAAUGGGAACAAGAGUGCUCAGGUUUAUCCCGAACACCCCAGCACUCGUGGCAUGGGGGUCGAAGCCGACGACUUGCAUCUCUCAGAUUUGAUAAACAACCGCACAGAAGGUAAUAUUUUAAACUAACAAGCAUUGCUUAACGCAUAUGAACAAAGCUUCAGCGUACAGGAUAACAAAUGCGAGUCUACUCAAAAAUUACAUCUUUGGAGCACUCAUCCGCUAUACGGCGGGCACCCUUCAGAACGCCAUUAUAAUACAUCUCGGGCGUACUAUACUCCUUGCCUGGCGGUGGCGCGUCCGUCAACAGCUUCUCCGCGUCUAGCUUGCCCCAGUGCACCUUAGCACGGGCAAGGGCCCGACGGGCACCUUCAAUACAAAGGAGCACUUGACGACCUCAAUCCACGGACACGCGUCCACCAGCCGCCGCACCAGACUGAAGUAGCUCCCAAGCAUAACUUCUCUAGGCCACAGCCGAGCUAUGAGGCCCUUCAUGGCCUGUUCGGCCACCUUGUGGAGCUCGAUCAGCUGCUUCAGCUGGUCGCUCAGGGGCAACGGAUGUUCGGCCUCAGCAUACUGAGACCAGAAAACUUUCUCCGUCGAGCUCCCCUCUUCGGCUCGGUAGUAUGCGGUGGCAUCAGACACACUACGGGGCAGAUCGGUGAACGCUCCUGGAGAGCUCCGGAUUCGGGUAAGUAGCAGAUAAUUAACUUUUAUAUUUUUGCUUUACAUAAAGAAUGCCUUACCCGCCGCUAUCUUCUUCAUCGCCUUGAUCUCCUGAAGGGCCUUCUGGGCUUCGGCCUUAGCGGUCUUGGCACUCUCAAGAGCCAAGGCAAGCUCGGACUCUCGAGUCUUCGAGUCACGCUCCAAACUCUCGUGUUUUUUCCACGAGAGCCUGGAGCUCUUGCCGCACCUCCGCCACCCGCGCCUCCUGCUUCUCUCGCUCGGUACGCUCCAAGGCCGCACUCUUUUCGGCCUUGGAGACCGCCUCUUUCAGGGUCGCCACCUCGGUCGUGGCUCCUGCAACAUUAACGUUGGUCCUGUUAUUAUUUUGCAACCAAGUAUUUCUAUAUACAUUUACAAGAGGUAGUAUGUACCCUCUUUAUCCUCGAGCUGCUUCUUGGCACGGCCGAGCUCGCUCUCAGACCGCUCGAGGCUUUCCUUCAAGGCAUUGACCUCCGCAGUCAGUGUGGCAGAGGUCAGUAGUGCAGCCUGCAUUCCCAUAUUGACAUGUUUCUAUUAGACUCAUGCAUAUAUCUUUUUAGAUCCUCAGCUCGGCUUUCCUUUCCGAACACCGAACUGAGCAUCAGGGGCUACUGUCUAUGCGGUAAUAUUAUAUAUAUAUGUUUUCGAACACAUACCUCAAAGCCCGUUAACAGGCUUGUGCAGGCUUCCGUCAGCCCGCUCUUGGCGGACUGAACCUUCUGAAUCACCGCACUCAUAACAGUGCGGUGUUCUUCGUCGAUGGAGGCGCCGUUAAGCGCCUCCAGCAAAUUGUCCGGCGCCUCCGGGUGGACGGAAGUCGCCGGCGUCGCUGGCUUGCCCUUCUUAUGAAGAUGCCGCCUGUCGGACUCUGGAAUCGCUGAUGGUUCCGGAGAAGUGUCCGGCCCGGGGCAGGACUUAGAUCCCUCCGGGGCUUUACCCCCUUUGGGCCUGGAGUCCGGAAGGUCGCCUUGUGGCGCUUCCAGGACCACCUCCUCCUGGUUUUGUCCCCUACGGGACUCCACCUCAGCGUCGUCUGUAGGGAGAGGGCAGGAGGCCGUCGGAAGUGAAGCGCUAUUCACGUCCGACGAAUUCAGAGAUCCACUCGACGAAUCGCCAAGCUGAGCUCUGGGCGGACUGCACGAUUAGCUUCGGCGUUAAAAGCUAUCGAAUAAUAAAGGAGUGCAAUAAGUCAUUCGGGUAGCCGGACACUUACGAUUUUGCCAGGGGCUUGACCCUGGAUGGCCAGUCCCCCCCGCCGUCUUCGGCGUCGGGGGCGUAGUCCGGCAGAAGGGUCUUCCCCUUCUUGGACCCUCCGGCUUCCCCAGUUGGGGCGGCCUUUCUCUUCUUUCCUCCCCCCGUUGGAGGGGGAGAGGCAUCUUCUUCUUCCUCCUACUCCUCAUCUUCGGAGGCGGAGGGUGCGUUGGGGCCGUCGGGCAAAUCCGACGACACCAGGCGCCGGGAACUCUUUCGGGUCCCCGUGGCCUUCUCCUUGGCCUUCUUCUCCGGCACCACAUGAGGUGCCGGAACCAGUAGCUUCGCUAAGUAUGCGUCUACUGGGCCUUCGGGCAAAGGGGCCGAACAGUCAAACUGUCCGGAUGUCCUCUUCCAGUCCUGUCAAAGGAACGGGAGUUUAGAUCCCACAUAAAGUCACACUAUGAAAUUCGGGUAUCCCGUAAGGGACUAAAUGUAAGCUUACUUCGGAGGCUUGACGUUUGGCGCAGAAUCCGCGAUCCUCGGUGACGGGAGGGGAUACCUCGAAACUCUUGAAAAGUACCUUCCAGGCAUCCUCGUGCUUCAUUUCAAAGAGCCGAGAUAGAGUCUGGUGCUGGGCCGAGUCGAACUCCCACAAAUUGAAGUCCCGUCGUUGACACGGGAGGAUCCGACGGAAGAGCAUGACCUGGACCACGUUGACAAGCUUGACCUUCUUGGUCACCAGGUCUCGGAUGCAGGUUUGGAGUCCGGUUACCUCUUCCGGAUUGCCCCAUGAUAGGCCCGUCUCUUUCCAAGAUGUGAGCCAGGUGGGGAUGCCGGAUCGAAAUUCGGGGGCCGCUGCCCAUUUAGGGUCACGCGGCUCGGUGAUAUAAAACCACCCCGAUUGCCACCCUUUGAUGGUUUCCACGAAGGCACCCUCGAGCCAGGUGACGUUGGCUAUCUUGCCCACCAUGGCACCUCCGCAUUCCGCCAGUCGGCCUUGCACGACCUUCGGCUUGACGCUGAAGAUCUUCAGCCAUAGGGCAAAGUGGGGCUGGAUGCGGAAGAAGGCCUCGCACACGACGAUAAACGCCGAGAUAUUGAGGAUGAAGUUCGGGGCCAGAUCGUGGAAGUCCAGGCCGUAGUAGAACAUGAGCCCCCGGACAAACGGGUGAAGAGGAAAACCUAGUCCGCGGAGGAAAUGGGGAAGAAAAACAACCCUCUCAUGGGGCCUGGGGGUGGGGAUGAGUUGCCCCACAUCUGGAAGCCGGUGUGCGAUGUCGUUAGACAAGUAUCCGGCCUUCCUCAGGUUUUUGAUUUGCCCCUCCGUGACGGAGGAGGCCAUCCAUCUACCUCCCGCUCCGGACAUGGUUGGAGAAGGUUGAGGUGGGAAGUGCGGGCUUGGGCGCUGGAGCUCGAGCGCGCAGGGACGGAUAAGCAGAGGAGGAAGAAGGUGUGAAUGGAAAGGGCGGAUUCUUAUCCCCUUAUAUGGGCGGCCACAACUACAAGCCUCCCACCGGCCUAAUAAGAACCCGCUUAUCUCCCAAGCGCCGUGGUUAGUGGCUCGGUUGGGUUACCCACGCCCGUAUUGAUGAGAAUCCCGGAAUAAGGGGACACGAUCUCUGCUUUGACAAGAUGUGCCAAGGAAACCAUCUCGCUAAACGCGCUGAGGUGGAACAAUAAAAUGAAUAAAAGCCUGGCCGUGGCAUGAUGUCACGCUGUGGAAUACGUCAGCAGACCCGAUUAACGCAAAUAUUAUUCUCUCUACGGUGGAAUGUGGAACUUAUCUUGCAGAGCCGGACACUACCCUGGUGUUCAACAUCUUCUAUGAAAUAUUCGGAGGAGGAACCCGCCUUGCAAUGCCGAAGACAACUUGCGCUCCGGACUCGUCGUCAUUGAAGCCUAGUUCAGGGGCUACUGAGGGAGUCCUGGAUUAGGGGGUGUCCGGAUGGCCGGACUAAGACCUUUGGCCAGACUCCCGGACUAUGAAGAUACAAGAUUGAAGACUCCGUUCCGUGUCCGGAUGGGACUUUCCUUGGCGUGGAAGGCAAGCUUGGCGAUACGAUAUGAAGAUCUCCUCCCAUUGUAACCGACUCUGUGUAACCCUAGCCCUCUCCGAUGUCUAUAUAAACCGAAGAGUUUUAGUCCGUAGGAAAAAACAACAAUCAUACCAUAGGCUAGCUUCUAGGGUUUAGCCACUCCGAUCUUGUGGUAGAUCUACUCUUGUACUACCCAUAUCAUCAAUAUUAAUCAAGCAGGAGUAGGGUUUUACCUCCAUCGAGAGGGCCCGAACCUGGGUAAAAACAUCGUGUCCCUUGUCUCCUGUUACCAUCCGCCUAGACGCAUAGUUCGGGACCCCCUACCCGAGAUCCGCCGGUUUUGACACUGACAUCUAUUGUUCAUGCUAUAAUUGUAUUAACUAGAAACCGUAAUACAUGUGUGAAUACAUAGACCACAACAUGUCCCUAGUGAGCCUCUAGUUGACUAGCUCGUUGAUCAAUAGAUGGUUAUGGUUUCCUGACCAUGGACAUUGGAUGUCAUUGAUAACGGGAUCACAUCAUUAGGAGAAUGAUGUGAUGGACAAGACCCAAUCCUAAGCAUAGCACAAGAUCGUGUAGUUCGUUUUGCUAGAGCUUUUCUAGUGUCAAGUAUCAUUUCCUUAGACCAUGAGAUUGUGCAACUCCCAGAUACCGUAGGAAUGCCUUGGGUGUACCAAACGUCACAACAUAACUGGGUGGCUAUAAAGGUGCACUACAGGUAUCUCCGAAAGUGUCUGUUGGGUUGGCACGAAUCGAGACUGGGAUUUGUCACUCCGUGUGACGGAGAGGUAUCUCUGGGCCUACUCGAUAAUGCAUCAUCAUAAUGAGCUCAAUGUGACUAAGAAGUUAGUCACGGGAUCAUGCAUUACGGAACGAGUAAUGUGACUUGCCGGUAACGAGAUUGAACGAGUUAUUGGGAUACCGAUGAUCGAAUCUCGGGCAAGUAACAUACCGAUUGACAAAGGGAAUUGUAUACGGGAUUGCUUGAAUCCUUGACAUCGUGGUUCAUCCGAUGAGAUCAUCGUGGAACAUGUGGGAGCCAACAUGGGUAUCCAGAUCCCGCUGUUGGUUAUUGGCCGAAGAACGUCUCGGUCAUGUCUCCAUGGUUCCCGAACCCGUAGGGUCUACACACUUAAGGUCCGGUGAUGCUAGAGUUGUUAUGGGAAAUAGUAUGUGGUUACCAAAGGUAGUUCGGAGUCCCGAUGUGAUCCCCGAUGUCACGAGGAGUUCCGGAAUGGCCCGGCGGUGAAGAUCGAUAUAUUGGACGAAGGGUAUUGGAGUCCGGAAGUGUUCCGGGGGUACCAGGCUAUGGCCAGCAUGACCGAAAGGUGUUUCGGGAGCCCCGGCAAGUGUUGGAGGGCCUCAUGGGCCAAAGGGGAAGGGGCAAACCAUCCCACUAAGGGGUGGUGCACCCCCACACCCUUUCCCACGUUAUUUGGGGAUGUGGGGCGCCUCCACCUGGCUUGGGAGGCAAUCCUCCACCUGCUUGGCUUGGUGGGCAAGUCUCCCUAGGAUUUUCCCUAGGGAGAUCCAAUCUGCUUGGCCACCGCCUCUAGGGGAAACCCUAGGGCGCCUCCCCCUCCCCCCUUGCCCCUAUAUAUAGUGGAGGGGUGGGAGGGCAGCCGCACCUCUUCCCUGGCGCAGCCCUCUCCCUCCUCCAACACCUCCUCCUCCUCUAUAGUGCUUGGCGAAGCCCUGCUGAAGAACCACGAGCUCCACCGCCACCACGCCGUCGUGCUUUCGGAGUUCUCCCUCAACUUAUCCUCUCCCCUUGCUGGAUCAAGAAGGAGGAGACGUCCCCAGGCUGUAUGUGUGUUGAACGCGAAGGCGCCGUCCGUUCGGCGCUAGAUCAGAUCUUCCGCGAUUUGAAUCGCCGCGAGUAUGACUCCAUCAAUCUCGUUCUUGUAACGCUUCCGCUUAGCAAUCUUCAAGGGUAUGAAGAUGCUCGUCCUCUCCCUCUCUUGUUGCUAGAAUCUCCAUAGAUUGAUCUUGGUGAUGCGUAGAAAAUUUUGAAUUUCUGCUACGUUCCCCAACAGUGGCAUCAUGAGGUAGGUCUAUUGCAUAGAUUCUAUGCACGAGUAGAACACAAGUAGUUGUGGGCGUUGGUUUUGUUCAAUAUGUUUACCGUUACUAGUCCUAUCUUGUUUCGACGGUAUUGUGGGAUGAAGCGGCCCGGACUGACCUUACACGUACACUUACGUGAGACAGGUUCCACCGACUGACAUGCACUUGUUGCAUAAGGUGGCUAGCGGGUGCCAGUGUCUCCCACUUUAGUCGGAUCGGAUUCGAUGAAAAGGGUCAUUAUGAAGGGUAAAUAGCAAUUGGCAUAUCACCGUUGUGGCUUUGCGUAGGUAAGAAACGUUCUUGCUAGAAACCCAUAGCAUCCACGUAAAACAUGCAACAAUAAUUAGAGGACGUCUAACUUGUUUUUGCAGGGUAUGCUAUGUGAUGUGAUAUGGCCAAAAAGAAUGAGAUGAAUGAUAUGUGAUGUAUGAGAUUGAUCAUGUUCUUGUAAUAGGAAUCACGACUUGCAUGUCGAUGAGUAUGAAAACCGGCAGGAGCCAUAGGAGUUGUCUUAAUUUAUUGUAUGACCUGCGUGUCAUUGAAUAACCCCAUGUAAUUACUUUACUUUAUUACUAAACCGUUAGCCAUAGUAGUAGAAGUAAUAGUUGGCGAGACAACUUCAUGAAGACACAAUGAUGGAGAUCAUGAUGAUGGACAUCAUGGUGUCAUGCCGGUGAUGAAGGUGAUCAUGCCGUGCCUCAAGAUGGAGAUCAAAGGCGCAAGAUGAUAUUGGCCAUAUCAUGUCACUCUAUGAUUUGCAUGUGAUGUUUGUCAUGUCUACAUCUUAUUUGCUUAGAACGACGGUAGCAUAAAUAAGAUGAUCCCUCACUAAAAUUUCAAGAAAGUGUUCCCCCUGACUGUGCACCGUUGCAAAAGUUCGUUGUUUCGAAGCACCACGUGAUGAUCGGGUGUGAUAGAUUCUAAGGUUCACAUACAACGGGUGUAAGCCAGGUUUACACACGCGAAACACUUAGGUUGACUUGACGAGCCUAGCAUGUACAGACAUGGCCUCGGAACACAAGAGACCGAAAGGUUGAACAUGAGUCGUAUAGUAGAUACGAUCAACAUGGAGAUGUUCACCGAUGAUUACUAGUCCGUCUCACGUGAUGAUCGGACACGGACUAGUUGACUCAGAUCAUGUAUCACUUAGAUGACUAGAGGGAUGUCUAUCUGAGUGGGAGUUCAUUAGAUGAACUUAAUUAUCAUGAACAUAGUCAAAAGGACUUUCCAAAUUAUGUCGUAGCUUACGCUUUAGUUCUACUGUUUAAGAUAUGUUCCUAGAGAAAUUUUAGUUGAAAGUUGAUAGUAGCAAUUAUGCGGACCGGGUCCGUAUACUGAGGAUUGUCCUCAUUGCUGCAUAGAAGGCUUAUGUCCUUAAUGCACCGCUCGAUGUGCUGAACCUCGAGCGUCAUUUGUGGAUGUUGCGAACAUUUGACAUACAUGUUUUGAUGACUACGUGAUAGUUCAGUAAUGUUAAACGGUUUAGAAUUGAGGCGCCGAAGACGAUUUUGAAACGUCGCGGAACAUAUGAGAUGUUCAAAAGGGCUGAAAUUGGGAUUUCAGGCUCGUGCCCAUGUCAAGAGGUAUGAGACCUCUGACGAGUUUCUUAAGACUGCAUACUAAGGGAGAAUAGCUCAAUCAUUGAGCAUGUGCUCAGAUUGUCUGAGUACUACAAUCACUUGAAUCGAGUGGGAGUUAAUCUUCCAGAUGAGAUAGUGAUGGUUCUCCAUAGUCACUGCCACCAAGCUAUUAGAGCUUCUGAUGAACUAUAACAUAUCAGGGAUAGACAUGAUGAUCCUUGAGGAAUUCGCGAUGUUUGACACCGCGAAAGUAGAAAUCAACCAGGAGCAUCAAUUGUUGAUGGUUAGUAAAACCACUAGUUUUUCAAGAAGGGCAAGGGAAAGAAGGGAUACUCCAUGAAAUGACAAAUCAGUUGCUGCUCUAGUGAAGAAACCCAAGGUUGAACCCAAACCCGAGACUAAGUGCUUCUGAAAUGAGGGAACAGUCACUAAAGCAGAACUACCCUAGAUACUUGGUAGAUGAGAAGGCUCGCAAGGUUGAAAGAAGUAUGUAUUGGACAUACGUUAUAUUAAAUGUGUACUUUACUAGUACUCCUAGUAGCACUAGGGUAUUAAGAUACCGGUUCGGUUGCUAAGUGUUAGUAACUCGAAAUAAAAGAGCUACAGAAUAAACGGAGACUAGCUAAAGGUGAGAUGACGAUGUGUGUUGGAAGUGUUUCCAAGGUUGAUGUGAUCAAGCAUCGCAUGCUUCCUCUACCAUCAAGAUUGGUUUUAAACCUAAAUAAUUGUUAUUUGGUGUUUGCGUUGAGCAUAGACAUUAUUGGAUUAUGUUUAUCGCAAUACGGUUAUUCAUUUAAGGAGAAUAAUGGUUACUCUGUUUAUUUGAAUAAUACCUUCAAUGGUCUUGCACCUAAAAUGAAUGGUUUACUAAAUCUCGAUCGUAGUGAUACACAUGUUCAUACCAAAAGAUAUAAGAUAGUAAUGAGAGUACCACAUACUUGUGACACUGCUGUUUGAGUCAUAUUGGUAUAAAACGCAUGAAGAAGCUCCAUGUUGAUGGAUCUUUGGACUCACUCAUUUUUUGAAAAGAUUGAGACAUGCGAACCAUGUCUAUUGGUAUAUAUGCAUGAAGAGACUCCAUACAGAUGGAUUGUUUGGACUCACUUGAUUUUGAAUCACUUGAGACAUGCAAAUCAUACCACAUGGGCAAGAUGACUGAAAGGCCUCGUUUUUCAGUGAGAUGAAACAAGAGAGCAACUUGUUGGAAGUAAUACAUUUGAUGUGUGCAAUCCAAUGAGUGCUGAGGCACGCAGUGAAUAUCGUUAUGCUCUUACUCCACAGAUGAUUUGAGUAGAUUCUAAGUAUAUUUACUUGAUGAAACACAAGUCUGAAUUAUUGAAAGGUUCAAGCAAGUUCAGAGUGAAGUUGAAGAUCAUCGUGGCAAGAGGAUAAAAUGUCUAUGAUAUGAUCAUAGAGAUAAAUAUCUGAGUUACGAGUUUGGUACACAAUUAAGACCUUGUGGAAAUUGUUUCACAACUAAUACCGCCUGGAACACCAUAGUGUGAUGGUGUGUCCGAACAUCAUAACUGCACCCUAUUGGAUAUGGUGCAUACCAUGAUGUCUCUUAUCGAAUUACCACUAUCAUAUAUGGGUUAAGCAUUAGAGACAACCACAUUCACUUCAAAUAGGGCACCACGUAAUUCCGUUGAGAUGACAACGUAUGAACUAUGGUUUAGAGAAACCUAAGCUGUCGUUUCUUAAAAGUUUGGGGCUGCGAUGCUUAUGUGAAAAAGUUUUAGCCUGAUAAGCUCGAACCAAAAGCGAAUAAAUGCAUCUUCAUAGGACACCCAAAACAAUUGGGUAUACCUCCUAUUUUAGAUCCGAAAGCAAAACUGAUUGUUUCUAAAAAUGGGUCCUUUCUCGAGGAAAAGUUUCUCUUGAAAGAAUUGAGUGGGAGGAUGGUGGAGAUUUGAUGAGGUUAUUGAACCAUCACUUCAACUAUUGUGUAGCAGGGCACAGGAAGUUGUUCCUGUGGCGCCUACACCAAUUGAAGUGGAAGCUGAUGAUAUUGAUCAUGAAACUUCAGAUCAAGUCACUACCAAAACUCGUAGGUCGACAAGGAUACGUACUACUUCAGAGUGGUACGUAAUCCUGUCUUGGAGGUCAUGUUGCUAGACAAUAAUGAACCUACGAGCUAUGGAGAAGUGAUGGUGGGCCCAGAUUCCGACGAAUGGCUAGAGGCCAUAAAAUUCAAGAGAGGGUCCAUGUAUGAAAACAAAGUAUAGACUUUGGAAGAACUACUCAAUGGUCGGAAGGCUGUUGGGUACAGAUGGAUUUUAAAAGGGAAGACGGACAAUGAUGGUAAGUGUCACCAUUAAGAAAGCUCGACUUGUCGCUAAGAUGUUUUCCAACAAGUUCAAGGAGUUGACUACGAUGAGACUUUCUCACUCGUAGCGAUGCUAAGAGUCUGUUGAAAUUAUAUUAGCAGGUUCCUGCAUUAUUUAUGAAAUCUUGCAGAUAGGAUGUCAAAACAUUGUUUCCUCAAUGAUUUUCUUGAGGAAAGGUUGUAUGUGAUACAACCAGAAGGUUUUGUCAAUCCUAAAAGAUGCUAACAAGUAUGCAAAGCUCCAGCAAUCCUUCUAAGGACUGGAGUAAGCAUCUCGGAGUUGGAAUAUACGCUUUGAUGAGAUGAUUAAAGAUUUUGGGUUUAUACAACGUUUAUGAGAAACUUGUAUUUCCAAAGAAGUGAGUGGGAGCACUAUAGCAUUUCUGAUGAGUAUAUGUUGUUGACAUAUUGUUGAUCGGAAAUGAUGUAGAAUUUCUGGAAAGCAUAUAGGGUUAUUUGAAAAGUGUUUUUCAAUGGAAAGCCUGGAUUAAGCUACUUGAACAUUGAGCAUCAAGAUCUAUAAGGAUAGAUCAAAAUCGCUUGAUAGUACUUUCAAAUGAGUACGCACCAUGACAAGAUUUUGAAGGAUUUCAAAAUAGAUCGGAAAAGAAGGAGUUCUUGGUUGUGUUAUAAGGUGUGAGUAUUGAGUAAGACUCAAUACCUGACCACGGCAGAAGAGAGAGAAAGGACGAAGGUCGUCUCCUAUGCUUUAGACGUAGGCUCCACAGUAUGCUAUGUUGUGUACCGCACCUAAAGUGUGCCUUGCCAUGAGUCAGUUAAGGGGUACAAGUGUGAUCCAGGAAUGGAUCACAGGACAGCGGUCAAGGUUAUCCUUAGUAACUAGUGGACUAAGGGAUUUUCUCGAUUAUGGAGGUGGUAAAAGAGUUCGUCGUAAAGGGUUACGCCGAUGCAAACUUUGACACUAAUCUGGACGACUCUGAGUAGUAGACCGGAUUCGUAUAGUAGAGCAGUUAUUUGGAAUAGUUCCAAAUAGCAUGUGGUAGCUGCAUCUAGGAUAUGACAUAGAGAUUUGUAAAGCACACACGGAUCUGAAAGGUUCAGACCCGUUGACUAAUAACCUCUCUCACAAGCGAUAUAUGAUCAAACCCCAUGGGUGUUGGAUUUAUUACAAUCACAUAGUGAUGUGAACUAGAUUAUUGACUCUAGUGCAAGUGGGAGACUGUUGGAGAUUAUUGACUCCAGAUCCCGCUAUUGGUUAUUGGCCGAAGAACGUCUCGGUCAUGCCUGCAUGGUUCCCGAACCCGUAGGGUCUACACACUUAAGGUUCGGUGACGCUAGAGUUGUUAUGGGAAAUAGUAUGUGGUUACCAAAGGUAGUUCGGAGUCCCGGAUGUGAUCCCGGACGUCACGAGGAGUUCCGGAAUGGUUCAGCGGUGAAGAUCGAUAUAUUGCACGAAGGGUAUUGGAGUCCGGAAGUGUUCCGGGGGUACCAGGCUAUGGCCAGCAUGACCGAGAGGUGUUUCGGGAGCCCCGACAAGUGUUGGAGGGCCUCAUGGGCCAAAGGGGAAGGGGAAAACCAGCCCACUAAUGGGUGGUGCGCCCCCCACACCCUUUCCCACGUUAUUUGGGGAGGUGGGGUACCUCCACCUGGCUUGGGAGGCAAUCCUCCACCUGCUUGGCUUGGGGGGCAAGUCUUCCUAGGAUUUUCCCUAGGGAGAUCCAAUCUGCUUGGCCGCCGCCCCUAGGGGAAACCCUAGGGAGCCUCCCCCUCUCACCUUGCCCCUAUAUAUAGUGGAGGGGUGGGAGGUCAGCCGCACCUCUUCCCUGGCACAGCCCUCUCCCUCCUCCAACACCUCCUCCUCCUCCGUAGUGCUUGGCGAAGCCCUGCUGGAGAACCACGAGCUCCACCACCACCACACCGUCGUGUUUUCGGAGUUCUCCCUCAACUUCUCCUCUCCCCUUGCUGGAUCAAGAAGGAGGAGACGUCCCCGGGCUGUACGUGUGUUGAACGCGGAGGCGCCGGCCGUUCGGCGCUAGAUCGGAUCUUCCGUGAUUUGAAUCGCCGCGAGUACGACUCCAUCAACCUCGUUCUUGUAACGCUUCCGCUUAGCGAUAUUCAAGGGUAUGAAGAUGCUCAUCCUCUCCCUCUCUUGCUGCUAGAAUCUCCAUAGAUUGAUCUUGGUGAUGCGUAGAAAAUUGUGAAUUUCUGCUACGUUCCCCAACAUGGCCGCCCCUCCAGUGCUGGGUGGGGAGUUCGGGCAAGUGGCCCAUGCACUCCCUUCCCCCAAUGCGCUGCCGUCUCUGCCCUGUGGGGCGCGACCGACGUCUCCGGCACUGGCGAGUGCCUCACGGCGUCCUGGCGUUACCACUGGGGCGUCUGUGGAGGCUGACCAGAUUCGCGUUUGGGGUGAGGCAGGAGGCCGCACCUCGAGCAGGAUCUCUCGGGAGGAGUGAAAGGAUCGAUAUAGUUGACUAGAGGGGGGGGGGGUGAAUAGGCAACUAACAAUUUUUAGCUUUUCUUUUCAAAAUUCAACUUUGCAUCAAAGUAGGUUGUCUAGAUAUGCAACUAGGUGAACAACCUAUAUGAUGCAACAACAACAAGCACACAAGCAAACAAGGGAUAUAACACAAGUAAGCUAGCAAAAUUAAAGGCGCGAGAUAACCAAGAGUGGAGCCGGUGGAGACGAGGAUGUUGUUACCGAAAUUCCUUCCUUUUGAGGGGAAGUACGUCUCCGUUAGAGUGGUGUGGAGGCACAAUGCUCCCCAGGAAGCCACUAGGGCCACCGUAUUCUCCUCACGCCCUCACACAAUGCGAGAUGUCGUGAUUCCAUUAUUGGUGCCCUUGAAGGCGGCGACCGAACCUUUACAAACAAGGUUGGGGCAAUCUCCACAACUUAAUUGGAGGCUCCCAACGACACCAUGAAGCUUCACCACAAUGGACUAUGGCUCCGAGGUGACCUCAACCGUCUAGGGUGCUCAAACACCCAAGAGUAACAAGAUUCGCUAGGGAUUAGUGGGGGGAAUCAAAUUUCUCUUGGUGGAAGUGUAGAUCGGGGCCUUCUCACCCAAUCCCGAGCAAAUCAACAAGUUUGAUUGGCUAGGGAGAGAGAUCGGACGAAAAUGGAGCUUGGAGCAACAAUGGAUGUUAGGGUUGGAAGAGGUGAGACUUCUUGGAGAACAAGCCGCCCCUUAUAUAGUGGGGGGACAAUUCCAACCGUUACCCCCACUCAGCCCGCGACCCGCGGAAGUACCGCACCACAGGAGCGGUACUACCACACGGGCAUGUGGUACUACCGCGGCGGACCGCGGUACUACCAUGGGCGCGGCAGAGCCCGGACCUGAGAAAAAGAGCACGGAUAGGGCGCGGUAGACCCGCAGGCGCGGUACUACCGCGGCCCCAUGCGGUACUACCGCAGGUCAGCCACAGGCCAGGCCCGGUAGGCACAGAUGUAGAAAAUUACAUCCGUGGCUACCUCCGCUGAGAUAUUGUCGUGCGAAAAUCUGACAUGGAACUACCGCGACUAGGGGUGCGGUACUACCGUGAAGGGUGCAGAUGUAAAAAAUUACAUCCGCCCCUACCUCCGCUCCUGCUUCUAUACCUGGCCAGGCGCCACGGUACUACCGCACUGGAGCACGGUACUACCGUGUAGAGCGCGGAUGUAAAAAAUUACAUCCGCGCCUACUAUCGCUUGAGCAGCGGCGCCAGUCCAGAACUCACGGUACUACCGCUAGUGAGGAGCGGUACUACCAUGGGAGCCCACAGUACUACCGUGCCGGAGCCCGGUACUACUGCUGGCUCCUGCGGUAGUACCGCUCUGAGGAGCAGUACUACCGUUAGCCUGAGAAGAGCAACACGGAGACCUUCAUUUCACAGAGACAAGGUGAGACAGAGGAACACUCCAAAGAGCUAGAGGAAAGGCGGUGCAAAAGGGAACGUGUACGUGAGAUUCCACCCAAACCUUUCCAAAGCGGACCCCCUCUUAAUAGUAUGGCUUUCCUACGACUCAACUCCACCGAUCUGAACCGUAGAGAAACGCCAUCUUCAAUAAUCUUCGAGGGGCAUCAAAUCGUCUUGUGUUUAGUCAUGAUAUCUCUGAAAAGCUCAAUACACAUGAUUAGUCCGCAAAGGCACUGUCAUCAAUCGCCAAAACUACUGAGGGACAAGAAUGCCCUUACAAUCUCCCCCUUUUUGGUGGAUUGAUGAAAAUACGGGAUUUGCCCAAAGGGAAGGAAUAUAGCACAAGCAAACCCCACAUCUCUAAAAUAUAGACGGGCUCCCCCUAGAUUCAUGCUAGAGAGUAAGGUGCUUUGGACUGCACGGCACGAAUACUAGGAUCACCACUCCCCCUAUAUUUUAGAGACAAAGCAUAUCUUGCAAAGAUAAGGCUGACACUAACAUGAAUAGCACGAUAUAGCAUAAGCUCAAUAAGAUAAUAAGGUACGAUAGAGUGCAUAUGUCUUACACCAUAUGAUAAACUUGGUCUCACGAGCACAACCAAACCAAAGCAAACAAGUUCAAUGAUGGAAAGCAAAGCAAAAUGACGAAACACACGACACACGACACGCAAAUCCUACACUCUCUCCCCCUUUGGCAUCCAGACACCAAAAAGGCAGAGAGGUCACCUACAACAAAGGUGGUAGCUCAGGCGGAAAACGACUCAUCGUCGCCAGACUCCGCAGCAGGAACAUACUCCUCCUCUAAAUCGGACCACUGGUAGCCCUGCUUCGUCAUCUAGGCAGCCUCGGGGGUGAUGUGCUUCUCAGAGCCACUGGCCACGUCCUCCCCGCAAGCCCUCAAAAUCCUGUUGUCGCGAUGACGGCCCUCCUUUUGAGCAACAUGAGCCUUGUACUGACUCUGGACCUGCAUGCAGAAAAGCCUCUUCAUCUUGAUCUUCAUCUUCAUCGCCCAAGAGGGCUCGGCAGAGGGAGUAGUGAAUGAAGAACGGUCCACAUCAGCUUAUUCCUCCUUAAUCUCCUCCUCAUCCACAUCCCUCCUGGCAGCCUCAGCAGAAGUGGUGGUGUUAGCCCAUUGUGGCUUGAUGCGGAGCCUGAUGGGCUCAUGACGAAUCCACCCUGGAGCUUCAAACUCAUCAUUGGGAAAAUGCUUCUCCCAAGACUUAGAGAUCAGGUGGAACAGGUAAGGCCCAUAGAUGGGGACUUUACGGUUGAACAUGGUGAACUAAAGCUCACACCACAUGAUAUGUGACACAUAAAGUGGCUGAGUCUGAGCCUGACGGGCCUCCUCACAGAUAAGCAUCAUGUCAACGAGGUAAGCAUGCACCUGGCCCAUGUCACCAAUGCAUGGGAAGAGGGUAUUCCGGAAGAGCCGAUGCAUGAUGUCAAGGAAGGGAUUAAGCACCCACGCUGUCUUCUUGUUGGGAAGAGUCUUCGGAACAAGGAAUGGCAUGAGCUUGUUCUUGUUGGCAGACUCAGAGUUGGCAUGAGGGCGAACUCCAACUGGCAUGUCGAGCCCUUCAUCUAGAACGUUAAGCAACUCCAUGAACUCCUUCCAAGUAGCAGACAUCCGACGACCAUUAGUCAUCCAAGUCAUGGUCCUUGCAUCAUCGACGCCGAAGUAGACUGAAGCAAAGAACUGUGCGAUGAUCUCUAGAUCAAAAUCCUUGUGGAAGGUGAGCAUGUGCUCAAUGCCGAACUGCUCCACUAGAUCCAAGGCCUCUCCAAAGUACCCACAGUGCUUGUCCUGCCUCAUAUGAUGCAUGUAAAUGUAGUGAACUUCCACGUAGAGGUUCUGCUUGGCCUUGAUCACAUCCAGAUAGAUCAGAUUUUGUUGCUUGGUCCAGAAGAGAUCAUUGCCUCGCAAGUUAGCCCGGGGAUUCACAUAGGGAUUGAGCUUCCUUCGAAUGACAAACUCGGCCUGGGGAAUCUCAUCCAUGCCCAUGACAGGCUCCUUUUGCUUGUUGGCGGUGGUCUUGGUCCUACGUUGGGGGGCAUUGGAGCCCUCAGGAGCUUCAUCUUGAUUGCGCAGACGCUUUGACCCUGUGUCACGGCUGGGAUUCGAGCGACGAGCAAAGGAACCGGAGCCACCACCUAGACACAAAGACACAAAAACACGCACGUGAACAAGACGGAUCAAAAACCAAACCGAAAGGAACACAAAGCAUGAGAUCUGGACAACACAAAAGGGCGCUGGAUGAAUCCACGGUAGUACCGGGCAGGGUUACGGAUGUAAAAAAUUACAUCCGCUCCAUCCGCGGUAGUACUGUGCCAGGGUGGCAUGGUAGUACCGCGCUUGGGGUGGAAGUAAUUUUUUACUUCCAGACGCCAAGCGGUAGUACCGCAAGAAGGUGCGGAAGUACUGCAAGGCGUCAGCACCAGGUGAGGCUGCGGUAGUACCGCUCCAGGAGGAGCGGUAGUACCGCACGGAUCGAAAACCACGACAGAGGUCGCGGAUCUGGAUCUAGAACCUCCGCACGACAACUUCAGUACUACCGUUGAUCAACCGGAACUAUUUUGACUAUCCAAAGAGCAUGCAAACUACACUACCACUCUCCUACGAAUCCCACUUGCAAAGAUUUAGCCAAAAAUCUCAAGAACAACACAUGCAUCUCCCCAAAACCUAAAAGCACAACGAAGGACAAAAGGGAGAGGAACUUGGGGAAAAACCUUGGUCCAUGGCAAGAGGGCGAGGUGGGGAACAAUCCCACCGGUCGGAAUCCGAGGAGAGCGGCCGGAGACGGAGAUCCGGCGAAGGCCUCCGGCGCCGUUCUUGGUCAGGAGAGAGAGAGAUGGGGUGGGGAAUGGAGAUGAAUGGGUAUGGGGGAGUUAGAACUCCCCCUGUCCUGCUCUUAACCCCCACCUGCUCGCAUGGGCGUGGAAGUACCGCGGAUCAGCGGUAGUACCGCCCGGGCGGAAGUACCGCAUGCUGGGCGGUAGUACCGCUCUUUCAGCGGUAGUAAAAAAAUUACUGCCACGAAGGUAGCGGUAGUACCGUGCCCCUGGAGGGCCACGCACUAAACGUAGAGCCACCAACUCCUGUGGUAGUAUCGUGGCUCACCAUGGUAGUACCGUAAAACCAAGAAAGUGCAAGAACACACGAGAGAAAGGGAGAAAAGGAAAAAACAACCUUCGGAAAAACACCGACCAACAAGGAGGCGAACACACAUGACGACCCAAACACGGUAAGGAGAAAAAGAGGCCACACGACAACGGAGACCAACUACGAGACACAACUUCUCCAAGGGGAGAGCAGUGGCCGGAUCCACCUAUGUUUGAGUCAAUUGGUAUGGCACCGCGAAGAAUUAUCCUUGGGUCCAUGACCAAAACUCGUCUUUGAAGCACAAGUACCAUCAAAAAUGGCUAAUGUGAAAGAGUUGAUCAAUUUAUGCAUAAUGGGGGGAGGGAGAGUUCAUUAAGAGAACAACACUCCCCCUAUGUCCAUGCCUACACCUAAACUAGACAACAAGUUGAGUGAGGUGGGGUGUGCACGGGCUCAAGUCACAUUGCUCGAAUCAAUGAUAUUUAGCUCAUGCCUUAACUCGCGAAAUCUUGCUUCAUCCAAGGGCUUCGUGAAAAUAUCUGCAAGAUUAUCAUGAGUGUUAACAUACUUGAGCUCGAUCUCCCCUCGCCUAAUAUGAUCCCGAAUGAAGUGAUACCGAAUCUCAAUGUGCUUCGUCUUGAAGUGUUGCACCGGGUUGAGAGAAAUCUUGAUGGCACUUUCAUUGUCACACCAAAGAGGCACUUUGUCACAAAUGACACCAUACUCCUUUAAAGUUUGGCUCAUCCAUAGGAGUUGUGCACAACAACUACCAGCCGCCACAUAUUCCGCUUCGGUGGACGAGAGAGACACACAACUUUGCUUCUUGGAAGACCAACUUACCAAAGAGCAACCAAGAAAUUGGCACCCUCCGGAAGUGGACUUCCUAUCCACUUUGUCUCCCGCCCAAUCGGAAUCCGUAAAACCUUCAAGCUUGAAGUUUGCUCCUCUUGGGUACCAUAAGCCAAAGUUUGGGGUAUGAGCCAAAUAUCGAAAGAUUUGAUUGACUGCCACAUAGUGGCUUUCCUUUGGUGUGGCUUGAAACCGUGCACACAUUCCCACACUCAACAUGAUAUCCGGUCUAGAUGCACAAAGGUGAAGCAAGGAUCCAAUCAUGGAGCCAUAUACCUUUUGAUCCACUGCUUUACCAUUGGGAUCAAUGUCAAGUUGGCACUUGGUAGGCAUUGGAGUAGAAGCCGGCUUGACAUCACUUAGCUUGAAUCUUUUUAGCAUGUCUUGAGUGUAUUUGGCUUGGUUGAUGAAGGUACCUUCUCUUCUUUGUUUGAUAUCAAAACCAAGGAAGAACUUCAACUCUCCCAUCGACGACAUCUUGAACUUAGAGGUCAUGAGAGCGGCAAAUUCCUCAUUGAAAGCUUUGUUAGGGGAACCAAAGAUAAUAUCAUCAACAUAUAGUUGGCAUACAAACAACUCCCCUUUGACCUUCUUAGUAAAAAGAGUGGGAUCGAUUUGCCCAACCUCAAAUCCACGAUCUUGUAACAACUCAGUAAGGUGGUCAUCCACGCACGUGGGGCUUGUUUAAGGCCAUAGAGUGCAUUAUCGAGUUGAUACACAUGAUUCAGGAAGUAGGGAUCCUCGAACCCGUGGGGUUGCUUGACAUAAACCAACUCAUUAAUAGGACCAUUAAGAAAAUCACUUUUCACAUCCAUUUGUUGUAACUUAAAGUUGUGAUGGGAGGCAUAAGCAAUCAACAAACGAAUGGAUUCAAGGCGGGCAACGGGAGCAAAGGUUUCACCGUAGUCGAUACCCUCGACUUAGGAGUAGCCUUGUGCUACCAAUCUUGCCUUGUUGUGAAUGAUGUUCCCAUGAGCAUCUUGCUUGUUCUUGAAAAUCCACUUGGUUCCAAUGACGUUGUGGUUCCCCGACGGCCUUGGCACCAAUCUCCACACCUUGUUGUACUCGAAGUUGUUGAGUUCUUCAUGCAUGGCAUUGAGCCAAUCCAAAUCUUUGAGCGCCUCAUAGACCUUUUGGGGUUCAACACAAGAGACAAACGCGUGAUGUUCACAAUAGUUUGCUAAUUUUCUAUGAGUGCUUACCCCCUUUCUUAGGCUUCCAAUCACAUUCUCCAUGAGAUGACCUUUGGUGGUGAGCUUGGAAGCAAUCUUCGCGGCACGACGCUCUAAUUCCUCCUCGGAUGUGGAGGAAGGAGGAUUAACUUGAUUAUCUUGAGCCCCGGCUUGAGCUUGUUCAAGAUCUUGAGCUUGCUCGAGGGGGAGAACUUGACCUUGGGCAUCAUUUGGUGGAUCAUCACCAUCUUGAGGUUGAUCUUGCCCUUGGUCUUGUUCAAGAGGUUGAGGGAUUUCACUAUGUUCUUCAGAAGCGUGUGGGUCUUGGGUUGAUGAUGGCUCCACUUGAGUAGAGCAUUGUCCUUCUCCUUCGGCCACAAGGGGUUCCUCAAUGGGUAGGAUAUGACCCACACCCAUUCUUCUUAUGGCUUGGGGAGGAAUUUCAUCACCUACAUCACAAGUACCACUUUGCUGCACUUGGGAGCCGUUAUUUUCGUCAAACUCCACGUUACACCUCUCCUCAAUGAGUCUGGUGGACUUGUUAAGGACACGAUAAGCAUGAGAGUUUGUAGCAUAACCAACAAAUAUGCCCUCACAAGCUCUAGCCUCAAAUUUAGACAAACGAACACCUUUCUUGAGAAUGAAACACUUACACCCGAACACCCGAAAGUACUUGAGGUUGGGCUUGUUACCGGUAAGUAUUUCAUAAGGAGUCUUGUUCAAGCCUUUGCGGAGAUAGAGCCGAUUGGAUGCAUGACAUGCCGUGUUGAUGGCUUCAGCCCAAAAGUUAUACGGAGACUUGAACUCCGCCAUCAUGGUCCUUGCUGCAUCCAUCAACGUCCGGUUCUUCCUCUCCGCGACACCAUUUUGUUGAGGGGUAUAUGGUGCAGCAUAUUGAUGCUUGAUCCCCUCAUCACUAAGAAACUCAUCCAAUGUGUAGUUCUUGAACUCGGUGCCGUUGUCACUUCUUAUUGUCAAGAUCUUUUCAUUAUGUUGGCGUUGAGCUUCAUUUGCAAAGUCGAUGACAGUUUGUUGAGUUUCACUCUUCCUCUUGAAGAAAAAUACCCAAGUGUAUCUUGAAUAAUCAUCCAAAAUCACCAAGCAAUACUUUCUACCCCCAAGACUAUCAAAAGAUGGAGGCCCAAAGAGGUCCAUGUGAAGGAGCUCCAAGGGUCUCUUCGAAUAGAUGAUAGUCGUGGGAGGGUGAGCAUUCUCAUGAAGCUUCCCUUCGAUACAAGCACUGCAAACACGAUCUUUGGCAAAACUAACAUUAGUUAGUCCACGGACAUGGUCCCCUUUGAGAAGACUUUGCAAAGAUCUCAUAUUGACGUGGGCUAAACGGCGAUGCCAAAGCCAUCCCACAUCAACUUUAGCCAUUAGGCAUGUCGCGGUCUUAGUGGGUCGCUCCGAAAAGUUAAUCACAUAGAGACCGUUCUCUACAUGCCCAACAAAGGCUACUUUAAGAGUCUUGCUCCACAAGAGGGCCACGGUAUCAACAUCAAAGAAGGUGGCAAAACCCAUGAGUGCAAGUUGACAAACGAAAAGAAGAUUGAAUGCAAGGGACUCGACAAGCAUGACUUUCUCGAUCGUUAGAUCAUGAGAAAUGACAACCUUGCCAAGACCCAAUACCUUAGAAGAUGAGGCAUCACCCCACUCGACGUUGGUGGGCAUAGAUGGGAUCUUGUGCACAUCCACCACCAAUUCCUUACUUCCGGUCAUAUGAUUUGUUGCUCCACUAUCGAGCAACCAUGAUCCUCCACCGGAAGCAAACCCCUACAUGAAAUCAAUGCUUGGUUUUAGGUACCCAUUGAGUAAUGGGUCCUUUGAUGUUAGCAACAAGGGUCUUGGGAACCCAAAUAGACCAUUCAAUAUACUCAUAAGGAGAACCAACAAAUUUUGCAUAAACAUGUCCAUCACUAGCUCGGCAUAACACAUAAGAGGGGUUAAAGUCGUCGACUUUGUUGGAAGGAGUGGCAUUGCCCUUCUUGACAUUACCACCCUUCACAUAGUUCUUCUUCUCCUUAGGAGCACCCUCUCCCUCCUUCACAAAUGUUUGCUUGAGAGGGGGAGGUCGUUUGGUCUUGUCAUUCUUCUUCUUGUUCUUAGACUUGGGGGUAAACCCAACUCCCUCCUUGGCCACAACUUCCUUUUGAUUGCUCAAAAGGUCAUUGAGGUUUUUCUCACCUUGAAUACAUGUCACAAGACCUUUCUUCAAUUGCUCUUUCAACAAGGCAUUCUCCUCCACAAGAUGCACAUGCUCACAACAUGGGUUAGUAGCAUUUGCAUUAUCAAUUAAGACCAUAUGAGGAAAAGUGGCUUUCUCCUUGGUUAACUUCACAUGGAGUUGAGCAUGAGACUCCUUGAGGCUAGCAUGAGCACCCUUCAAGGCCUUGUGAGCCUUGUCAAGUAUAUCAAACUCCUCUUUGAGUCUAGCAAGAUCAACCCCAAGUUUAGUCUUCUCAGAGUUUUCCACACGAGAGACAACAAUAGCAUGAUCAAGAUCUUUCUUUAAUUUAGCAUGGUCAUCGUUGUGUGACUCCUCAAGAGUUAAACGAUGCCCACGCUCUUCCUCAAGGGCAUUAGAGAGAUCCGAUAUCUCAUCGUCAUAGUCACGACUAUGACCUUCCAUCUUAGAGAUGGUUUCUUCAUGAGGCUCGAUCAUGUCAUUGGCUUCACCAAGUUGUUCCAAGAGAGCAACAAAAUGCUUCUUGGAUUUACCCUUGAGUUUACUCAUAAAAGACUCAAACUCAUUCAACUCUUCAUUAGGCCCCUCAUUUUCAUCAAUGCAAUCCGUUAAGGAAGGAUUGGUAAUGAUGGUGGUUUUGAUGUUGGGGGUUACCUUGUUAGUGGAUUUGGCCAUGAGGCACUUGGCGGUGAUGUUCUCGUUGGGUGAAUCAAAGAGAGACACCCGAGGAGUGGUAGCAAUGGCAACGGAGGCCAUGAACAUUGCUUCUCCAUCUCCAUCAUCAUCGUCAUCCUCAUGGUAUUCUUCUUGAACCACCAACCCACGAGUAGGAGUCUUCUUGGUGAAGUUGUUCUUGUUGGGGAAGGACUUGGCUUUGUCUUUUCGGAUGAGCUUGCCACCAUUGUCUUCCCGCUUCUCGUAAGGACAAUCCACAACGAAAUGGCUCACAUUGCCAUAGUUGUAACAAGUUCUAACUCGUUGCUUGCCCUUGAAGCCACUUGAGUUGUUCUUGUUGAAGUUGGGUCUUGAGUUCUUCUUGCUCCAAAAUUGCCUUGAAGCAAGAGCCAUGUGCUCAUGAUAAUCAUAUUUUGUAUCUUCGGGGUUGCUCUCCUCAUCUUCCUCUUCUUCCACAAUAACCUUGGCCUUCAAGGAAAGGUUGGGCUUCUUUGCCCUUUGAGACCGGAGCACCACGUUAUCGGCGGUCUUGUCCAAGAUGCUCAUUGCAACGAACUCAUCCAACACUUCACUUGAUGUCAUGGAGUGGAAGUCCGGCCUUUGAUGAAUGAUGGAGGACAUGGCCUUGUUGUAGGGAAUCAUGGCCUUGAGGAACUUGUGCUUGAUCCAAUUGUCAUCCGUGUCCUUGCUCCCAUGAUCUCAGAGUGAGACCGCGAGUUUGGUUACUCUUUGAAAGAGCUGACGAGGUUCUUCAUCUUCCUUCAUUGCAAACUCAUUGGCUUCAUCUUGCACCACUUCAUAGUUGGAGCGUUGAAUGCUUUCUCUUCCCCAAUAAAGAGACAUAAUGCAAUGCCACGCGUCUUUGGCCAUCGCAUAGGGUCGAAGAUAAGGAAGAUCUUCGGGAGGAAUAGCAUCUUGGAUGAUGAAGAGAGCAUUCUCAUUGAAUUGAUUAUCCAUGGCUUCUCUAGGGGUGAACUUGCUUCCGUCAUGUGGAUAGAAACCUUCUUCAAUGAUUCUCCAAAGAUUAGUAUUCACAUGAUUUAAAUGACGCUUAAAGUGAUACACCCAAGAAUCAAAGUCCUCAUUUUUCAUAAUCUUGGGAGGAGGACCGGCAUGGUUUAAAUGAGUAGAGGGAAUCGGUCCUCCAUAAGUUGGAGGUUCCACAUGGGCAAAGAUGCCGGUGCCAUUUCUACCACUAGUAGAAGGACCCUUUUCACUAUUAGCUUCCCCCUUGUCGGAGGUAGCAUCCAUCACCUUGUUAGUGGGAUCACCCACUUUCAUCAGUGCAGUGGACAGUUUAAGACCUUCUAGAAAUUUAGUAAACAUGCUUUCAACCUCGGUCGUCAUGGAGGUUUUCAAUGUGUCCAAAGCCACAUUGAAUUCCUCACGAGAGACCGUGGUUCCCCCAUCGGCCGUAGACGAGAUAGGAUUCACACCGGAGUGCUCCUCCACACCGUCUGUGGUGUCAACCAUACUCUUCGGAUGGCAAAGUCCUUAAUAAAGAGACGAGGCUCUGAUACCAAUUGAAAGGAUCGAUAUAGUUGACUAGAGGGGGGGUGAAUAGGAACUAACAAUUUUUAGCUUUUCUUUACCAAAUUCAACUUUGCAUCAAAGUAGGUUGUCUAGAUAUGCAACUAGGUGAACAACCUAUAUGAUGCAACAACAACAAGCACACAAGCAAACAAGGGAUAUAACACAAGUAAGCUAGCAAAAGUAAAGGCGCGAGAUAACCAAGAGUGGAGCUGGUGGAGACGAGGAUGUGUUACCGAAGUUCCUUCCUUUUGAGGGGAAGUACAUCUCCGUUAGAGCGGUGUGGAGGCACAAUGCUCCCCAAGAAGCCACUAGGGCCACCGUAUUCUCCUUACGCCCUCACACAAUGCGAGAUGCCGUGAUUCCACUAUUGGUGCCCUUGAAGGCGGUGACCGAACCUUUACAAACAAGGUUGGGGCAAUCUCCACAACUUAAUUGGAGGCUCCCAACGGUACCACGAAGCUUCACCACAAUGGAUUAUGGCUCCGAGGUGACCUCAACCGUCUAGGGUGCUCAAACACUCAAGAGUACCAAGAUCCGCUAGGGAUUAGUGGGGGGGAAUCAAAUUUCUUUUGGUGUGUCAAGACCGGGUUUUCCGGGUAAUAAAUUUCCAGAAAAGACCGUCGUGCUCAUCAGCCCCAGGAUUACUGUUAGCUGAUGAGGCUCCAACUUGAUACAGAAAUUCCAAGCAAAAUACAAAAUAUGUAGUACAAGACCAUUCUGGCCUGUGAGUACAACAAAUGGUUUCUAGUGGUUGAUGGCGGAAGCGGGUUGUGAAACAUCAGUGUCUAUGGGACUCCAUUUCCCACGGGAACAACUGACCAUGUUAAUUCCUAUCUUCGCGAGGCUGCUAUCUCCAUUGAGUGGGUUCCGGGGCUGGCAUCGCGUCGCUCAUCUCCGUGCAAGAUAAUCUGGCCAAGACAAUAGCCAGGGACAAGCCAGUGAGUACUUUGAAUGUACUCGCAAACAUUAUGAAUACAGGUAUAAUAUAACAAUGAUGUGCUGAAAAUAUUUUAUGCUCACGACGUCAGUCACAAAAGAUAAAUAAAUCUCGGAUGCGUGCAAGCAAGUUAUUUAUAAAAUUUCAAUAACAGUAGCAUUAAAAUUUAUGAAAUAAAUAACAAGUAAUGCCACAGUCGGGCGUCUGAGCGACACCACAUAAAGGGCUUUAAGAGAAAUGCCACAGUCGGGCGUCUGGGCGACGCCACAUAAAGGGCUUUAAAAGAAAUGCCACAGUCGGGCGUCUGGGCGACGCCACAUAAAGGGCUUUAAAAGAAAUGCCACAGCCGGGCGUCUGGGCGACGCCACAUAAAGGGCUUUAAAAGAAAUGCCACAGCCGGGCGUCUGGGCGACGCCACAUAAAGGGCUUUAAAAGAAAUGCCACAGUCGGGCGUCUGGGCGACGCCACAUAAAGGGCUUUAAAAGAAAUGCCACAGUCGGGCGUCUGGGCGACACCACAUAAAGGGCUUUAAAAGAAAUGCCACAGUCGGGCGUCUGGGCGACACCACAUAAAUGGCUUUAAAAGAAAUGAUCAUAGUGAAUAUCCCGGAGGUAGAACCAUCCUAGAGAUAUUCAGUAAUAAUAUCACGGGUUAGUCAACAAUAAUAAUAAUCAUAGAUAUCACAAGUCACGAGUAGUAAUUCCAUUUUCUGGUUAACAGUUUCACCUCCGAAGACCGACACUAAGACCGACACCUGACCCAUCCCAGACUGCAAUCCUUAACCAUAGACACGGCUAUACGAAUAGGUUUAUUCUCUGCAGAGGGUGUACUCUUUACCCACGAGUAACGGAUUUCUCUAGUCCAGCAGGACUAAUUCCGUCUACGGUCUUUUUGUUGAAAACACACCUAACUUGCACACACCAGCUUAUCUCACACGUGUCUGGAAUCACCCACGACACCUGUUAAGCAAACUCUAAGUGGGGAGGCUACAACCUCGCGUAGCAUGGGAUCAAAUUUAUAUUGCGCGCUCUAAGGGGUGGCCUCCCCUCUCGGUUCCAACCGGAAACACCCAUGCCCCCGGACCAGGUGGCCUGCCUACCAGCUACAACCGGUAUCUUCCACCAUGGCCUCUCUGUACGGUGUGUGCUGGAAAGAGGUUGACAACUUACUGAACCGUACUCUACUUGCUGUAGAGACGAGUGGUAGUACGAAACAAGUAUGGGGGUUACUGGAACAAGACUCGAUCUACGGUCGACUCAGGAGGUUCAAGUAUUCCCUGCAUGGUUAGCAUGACGCAUAUAUUUCAUCCAACAAAGUCACCGCUCAUAUCACCUUACCAUGCCAUACCAGACAUAACCGUCCCGACGGAGACCGGCGACAAACUCAUGCCUACCCAAGGCCGAGGUUUCCCCGGGUUCCUGCCGGUAUGCAUGCAAGGCACAUGAGGGUGAUUAUCAUCACAAGUGAGUCCAUUUCCAACAGCAUGGAAAUCAACAACAUGCACCCAUGCAUAUAAUCAUAUCACAUGAAAUAACAAGUCCUUCGAAAUGUGGUGGUGUUAUAAAUGUAUCAACGAUCACACCAAAAAUAUUAUGCCGGGGUUUAGAAUGCUUGCCUUCAAUGUUGUGGAGGGGUGAGGUGCUCUCCAAAACUUUUGAAAGCUUCUUCUCUCUCCCCAAAAUCCUAUUUAAAAAUAUAUUGAAUUAACACACAUUUCAAAAACAGAACCAAAAAGUUGUUUGAAAUUUUUUCAAAUAAAUCUUAAAAUAAACUAGAUCAAAUUUGAGGAAGGUAAGAAAAAGAAUCAACUCAUUUGGAGUUAUAUUUAAAAAGUUAUAGCCAGUCAAAAAUUUGGUCAAAUCUGUUAUUUAAAAUAAAACAGAAAAGAAAACGGUUCAGAUAGAAAUACGCUUUCGGUGCAGAGGAGGCGUACUUGGGGCUUUACGCCUCCACUUAACCACACGGGCGGCGCGGGGUGUCACUGACAGUGGGCCUGCCUGGCCCACUGGUCAGGUUUGACCAGUCGCCGCGCGUCGUCUCCCUCCUUUGCCCGAGCGGAGCGGGGCUCCGGCGAUCGUCGCCGGCGUUUGGCUGCUCCUCGCGGGCCCCCGAGGGUGGGGAUGGAUCCGUAAGGUUGGGGCAGUCCUCCCGGUAGUCGUUGGGUCAGCGGGGACGGAGUGAGCUGCCGGCGGCGAGCUCCGCGGCGGAAGAAGGCUUCGGUGGCGAAGUGACUUUGUGGCGGCGUUGGCUCCCGAUCAAAAUCAAGUAGGGGAAAAGGCUCACGGGAGGAUGAGGAGGUUCUUGGUGGAGAGAACGGAGAGGGAGAGGCCUCGGUGGUGCCGAAAUGGCCGGGGCAGUGGCGGCGGCCGCAGUUGCCGGAGAUGAGGAAGGAGCCCUCCCCCGGGUCGAUUGGCUGCCAAUGGGGGUCCUCUGGAGGUGGCUUGGGACUGCCUGCGUGCGGAGAUGAGCUCGGGACUCCUUAUAUAGGCGAGUCGAGGCGGUUCAGCGGCGGCCGUGGAUAAGCUUCCGGCGAACCGACGUUCUAUAGCAGCAGGGCAUCGUGGCGGCGACGAGCGCUAGCGGACAUGGCUGCGGAUGAGCACGCGCUGUUCCAGGGGCCAAGUGGCGAGCGGGAGUGGCUUGGGCAACGCUGAACGGCGUAGGGCUGCCGGGCGGCGGCGGCGGCUAGUGCUUGGCCUGCCGGGCACGGCGAGGGGCGGCUUGGCGCGUAGCUGAGAGAAGGGGAGCGCGUGGCGUGAUGCUGCUGUGUGGGCCAAAGCCAGGGGGCCAGCGUGUCGGCUCGGGCGCGCGGCUGCAAUACGCGCGCUCUGGGCGCGCUCCGGGUGUGCACGGGACGUGUUCGACACUAUGCCAGAGCACGCUAGAGGUUGCGGUCGAGGCUGGCAAUUAACAGACCCAGGUUAGGAGCAACUGGAAUCCUAGUGGACAUGCUAGUAUGAUCCGAGGUGCAAGGUCACAAUGCAAAGACAAAAUCAUGUCAAAACUGGCCAUGCACACCAGGUGUUUGACAAAAUGCCAAGGGCACUUAGGCAUUUCUUGGAGUGGCCAAAAUCUCCAGAUCAGUGUCUCUGUGGAAGAAAGAGAGAGUGGUGAGGUUAGUUGGCCAAAAGCAGAAACUUGUUAGUGCAAGUUUCACAAAACUUCAAUUCUGUAUAGGAAAUAAAUGACAUUAUUUCAUGAACCAAAAAUGACCCAAAAGGUGCAUGCUCCUGGACUUAAGGGUUUAACAUGGGGGACUACAAGUAGGAGAAAUGAUCAAGGGUUAAAGAGCAAGUAAAAACAUGGUUGCUGUACAAACCAUCAAGUUGGUCCAGAAUGAAGAUGAGGUUGAUUCACUCAAAUUUUUCAAAGAACAUAAAUAGGUUUUUGCACAAAGUGAAACAAUAGGCUCCUACUGACCUCCCCUAAUUUUUGUGGAAGUUUUAAAGAAAAAUUUAAAUAGGUUGUAGUGCAAAAAGCACUCUGGACCAGAGAUGAAAAAUUGAGUGUAAGGCUCAAAAUAUUUCAUGAAUGAAAUAUAUUUUAGCAUAAAAGUGAUUUAAAAACAUCACAUGACAUCUCCAAAUUUUUGUGGGAAUUUUAAGUGAAUUUAUCAAAUGGUUGUAGUUCAAAUAUGGCCAUUUAACCUAGAAAACCCUUUUCAAGAAAAUAAAGAUCAAGCAACCUAAUUAUCUAAUUAGUUACACUGAUAAAAGGAAAGUUUUACUUGAGAGGUUAAUCAAGUCCAACAACAUUUUUGAAAAGUUUUCUUUUUGGGAAAAACUCAUCAUAACAGGGAAGGAAAUGAUUUAAACAAAAUCAAAAUGGAGCUCAAAAAAAUCAAAGUUUUAAAUCCUGGCAAAAUUUUAUUCCAUUAAAACAAGGCCAAAAUUUUGGGGUGUCACAUGGUGGAAGUGUAGAUCGGGGCCUACUCACCCAAUCCCGAGCAAAUCAACAAGUUUGAUUGGCUAGGGAGAAAGAUCGGGCGAAAAUGGAGUUUGGAGCAACAAUGGAUGUUAGGGUUGGAAGAGGUGAGACUUCUUCGAGAAGAAGACCCCCUUAUAUAGUGGGGGUACAAUUCCAACCGUUACCCACCACUCAGCCCACGACCCGCGGAAGUACAACACCACAGGAGCGGUACUACCGCACGGGCCUGCGGUACUACUGAUACGUCCAUUUUGCAUCAUGCUUUUAUAUCAAUAUUUAUUGCAUUAUUGGCUGUUAUUACACAUUAUAUCUCAAUACUUAUGGCUAUUCUCUCUUAUUUUACAAGGUUUACCAUGAAGAGGGGGAAUGCCGGCAGCUGGAAUUCUGGCUGGAAAAGGAGCAAACUUUGGAAACCUAUUCUGCACAACUCCAAAAGUCCUGAAACUCCACGAAACAACUUUUUGGAUUUAUUAGGAAUUUAUGAGCGAAAGAAAUAGGCCAGGGGGGCCACACCCUAUCCAGGAGACAGGGGGCGUGCCCUCCUGUAGGGCGUGGCCCCCUAUCUCCUGGGCCCCCUAGUGGGCCUCCGGCGUCCAUCUUCUGCUAUAUCAUCACCCUUUCCCUAGAAAAAAUCAUGGGCAAGCUUACGGGACGAAACUCCGCCGCCAUGAGGCGGAACCUUGGCGGAAUCAAUCUAGGGCUCUGGCGGAGCUGUUCUGCCGGGGACACUUCCCUCCGGGAGGGCGAAAUCAUCACCAACGUCAUCACCAACGAUCCUCUCAUCGGGAGGGGGUCAAUCUCCAUCAACAUCUUCACCAGCACCAUCUCCUCUCAAAACCCUAGUUCAUCUCUUGUAUCCAAUCUUGUAUCAAAACCACAAAUUGGUACCUGUGGGUUGCUAGUAGUGUUGAUUACUCCUUGUAGUUGAUGCUAAUUGGUUUACUUGGUGGAAGAUCAUAUGUUCAGAUCCUUUAUGCAUAUUAUUACUCCUCUGAUUAUGAACAUGAAUAUGCUUUGUGAGUAGUUACGUUUGUUCCUGAGGACAUGGGUGAAGUCUUGCUAUUAGUAGUCAUGUGAAUUUGGUAUUCGUUCGAUAUUUUGAUGAGAUGUAUGUUGUCUUUCCUCUAGUGGUGUUAUGUGAACAUCGACUACAUGACACUUCACCAUUAUUUGGGCCUAGAGGAAGGCAUGGAGAAGUAAUAAGUAGAUGAUGGGUUGCUAGAGUGACAGAAGCUUAAACCCUAGUUUAUGCAUUGCUUCGUUAGGGGUUGAUAUGGACCCAUAUGUUUAAUGGUGUGGUUAGGUUUACCUUAAUACUCCUUUUUGUAGUUGCGGACGCUUGCAAUAGGGGUUAAUCAUAAGUGGGAUGCUUUUCCAAGUUAGGGCAGUACCCAAGUGCCGGUCCACCCACAUAUCAAAUUAUCAAAGUACCGAACGCGAAUCUUAUGAACGUGAUAAAACUAGCUUGAUGAUAAUUCCCAAUGUGUCCUCGAGAGCUACUUCCUCAUUAUUAGAAUUGUCCAGGCUUAUCCUUUGCUACAUAAAGGAUUGGGCCACCUUGCUGCACUUUAUUUACUUUAAUUACUUUUUGCUCGUUACUAUUUAUCUUUUCACAAAACUAUCUAUCACCUACUAUUUCAGUGCUUGCAAAGAAAACCUUACUAAAACCCGCUUAUCAUUUCCUUCUGCUCCUCAUUGGGUUCGAAACUCUUACUUAUCGAAAGGACUAUGAUAGAUCCACUACACUUGUGGGUCAUCAAGACUCUUUUCUGGCGCCAUUGCCGGGGAGUGUAGCGCUUUUGGUGAGUGGAACUUGGUAAGGAAACAUUUAUAUAGUGUGCUGAAAUUUUCUGUUACUUGUCACUAUGGAAACUAAUCCUUUGAAGGGCUUGUUUGGGGUAUCUUCACCCCAAUCAGAAGAGCAAAGAGAUGCUCCUCAACCUACUGAACCUUAUGAAAAUAUUCACUUUGAGAUUCCUUCGGGUAUGAUAGAAAAACUGCUAGCUAAUCCUUUUGCAGGAGACGGAACAUUGCAUCCCGAUUUACACCUUAUCUUUGUUGAUGAAGUUUGUGGAUUAUUUAAGCUUGCAGGUAUCCCCGAUGAUGUUGUCAAAAGGAAGGUCUUCCCUUUAUCUUUGAAGGGAGAUGCAAUGACAUGGUAUAGGCUAUGUGAUGAUACGAGAUUUUGGAAUUAUAAGCGACUGAAGUUGGAAUUUCACCAGAAGUUCUAUCCUAUGCAUCUUGUUCAUCGUGAUCGUAAUUACAUAUAUAAUUUAUGGCCUCGCGAAGGAGAAAGCAUUGCUCAAGCUUGGGGGAGGCUUAAUUCAAUGUUAUAUUCAUGCCCCAAUCAUGAGCUCUCUCAGGAAAUGAUUAUUCAGAAUUUUUAUGCUCGGCUUUCUCUUGAUAAUCGCAACCUGCUCGAUACUUCCUGUGCUGGUUCCUAUAUGCUGAAGACUAUUGAUUUCAAAUGGGACUUAUUGGAAAGAAUUAAAUGCAACUCUGAAUAUUGGGGUUCCGACGAUGGUAAGGAGUCAGGUAUGACACCUAAGUUCGAUUGUGUUAAAUCUUUUAUGGAUAUCGAUGCUUUCCGUGGAUUUAGCUCUAAGUAUGGACUUGACUCUGAGAUAGUAGCUACUUUUUGUGAAACUUUUGCUACUCACAUUGAUAUCCCUAAAGAGAAGUGGUUUAAAUAUAAUCCUCCUAUUGAAGUGAAAGUAGUUGCACCUACUACAGUAGAAGAAAAGACUAUUACAUAUAGUGAUCCUAUUAUUCCUACUGCUUAUGUUGAAAAACCUCCUUUUCCUGUUAGGAUAAAAGAUCAUGUUAAAGCUUCGAAUGUUGUUCGUAAGAGUAAUACUAGGACCUAUACACCCCCUGAGCAAAUUAAUGUUGAACCUGGUAUUGCUAUGAUUAAAGAUCUCUUGGACGAGGACUUAGAUGGGCAUGUUAUCUCUUUCUUGGGUGAAACUGCUAAUAUUGCUAGACCCGAUACUAAGACACGUAGACCUGUCGUAGGCACGCCUAUUAUUUCUGUUAAAAUAGGAGAUCAUUGUUAUCAUGGCUUAUGUGACAUGGGUGCUAGUGCUAAUGCGAUACCUUAUGAUCUUUAUAAAGAAAUUAUGCAUGAUAUUGCACCUGUUGAAUUAGAAGACAUUGGUGUUACUAUUAAGCUUGCUAAUAGGGACACCAUUAAACCAAUUGGGAUUGUUAGAGAUGUUGAAGUCUUGUGUGGGAAGAUUAAAUACCCUGCUGAUUUUCUUGUUCUUGGUUCCCCACAAGAUGAUUUUUGUCCCAUUAUUUUUGGUAGACCCUUCUUGAAUACUGCUAGUGCUAAGAUUAAUUGUGAAAAGAAUGUUGUCACUGUUGGCAUAGAUGGUAUGUCUCAUGAGUUUAAUUUUGCUAAGUUUAGUAGACAACCUCGUGAAAGGGAACCACCUAGUAAGGAUGAAAUUAUUGGUCUUUCUUCCAUUGCUGUUCCUCCAACUGAUCCGUUAGAACAAUAUUUGUUAGACCAUGAAAAUGAUAUGUUCAUGAAGGAAAGGGAAGAAAUAAAUGAAGUGUUCCUUAAAGAAGAACUUAUGCUAAAACAUAACCUUCCCGUUGAAAUUCUUGGGGACCCCCCUCCACCCAAGGGUGAUCCCGUGUUCGAACUCAAACCCUUACCUGAUAAUCUCAAGUAUGCUUAUCUUGAUGAAAAAGAAAUAUACUGUUAUUAUUAGUGCUAACCUUUCAAAAAAAGAAGAAGAAAGAUUAUUGAAAACUCUGAAGAAGCACCGAGCCGCUAUUGGAUAUACUCUGGACGAUCUUAAGGGCAUUAGUCCCACAUUAUGUCAACACAAAAUUUCAGUGGAGAAAGAUGCCAAACCAGUUAGAGAUCCUCGAAGACGAUUAAAUCCUAAAAUGAAGGAAGUGGUAAGAAAGGAGAUUCUAAAACUCCUUGAGGCAGGUAUUAUUUAUCCCGUUGCCGAUAGUGAAUGGGUAAGCCCUGUCCAUUGUGUCCCUAAAAAGGGAGGUAUUACCGUUGUUCCUAAUGAUAAAGAUGAAUUGAUCCCGCAAAGAAUUAUUAUAGGCUAUAGGAUGGUAAUUGAUUUCCGUAAGAUAAAUAAAGCUACUAAGAAAGAUCAUUACCCUUUACCUUUUAUUGAUCAAAUGCUAGAAAGGCUAUCCAAACACACACAUUUUUGCUUUCUAGAUGGUUAUUCUGGCUUCUCUCAAAUACCUGUGUCCGCGAAGGAUCAAUCUAAAACUACUUUUACUUUCCCUUUUGGUACUUUCGCUUAUAGACAUAUGCCUUUUGGUUUAUGUAAUGCACCUGCUACCUUUCAAAGAUGCAUGAUGGCUAUAUUUUCUGAUUUUUGUGAAAAGAUUUGUGAGGUAUUGAUGGAUGACUUCUCCGUCUAUGGGUCCUCUUUUGAUGAUUGUUUGAGCAACCUUGAUCGAGUUUUGCAGAGAUGCAAAGACACUAGUCUCGUACUGAAUUGGGAAAAGUGUCACUUUAUGGUUAAUGAAGGCAUUGUCUUGGGGCACAAGAUCUCCGAGAGAGGUAUUGAAGUUGAUAAAGCCAAAGUUGAUGCUAUUGAAAAGAUGCCAUGUCCCAAGUGUUGGGUUUUGUAGUAAUUUCAAAAAAAUUCCUACGCACACGCAAGAUCAUGUGAUGCAUAGCAACGAGGGGAGAGUGUUGUCUACGUACCCAACGCAGACCGACUGCGGAAGCGAUGACACGACGUAGAGGAAGUAGUCUUACGUCUUCACGAUCCAACCGAUCAAGCACCGAAACUACGGCACCUCCGAGUUCGAGCACACGUUCAGCUCGAUGACGAUCCCCGGACUCCGAUCCAGCAAAGUGUCGGGGAAGAGUUCCGUCAGCACGACGGCGUGGUGACGAUCUUGAUGAACUACAGCAGCAGGGCUUCGCCUAAACUCCGCUACAGUAUUAUCGAGGAAUAUGGUGGCAGGGGGCACCGCACACGGCUAAGGAAUCGAUCACGUGGAUCAACUUGUGUCAACUUGUGUCAACUUGUGUCAACUUGUGUCAACUUGUGUCAACUUGUGUCAACUUGUGUGUUUAGAGGUGCCCCUGCCUCCGUAUAUAAAGGAGCCAAGGGGGGAGGAGGCGCCGGCCAGGAGGAGGUGGCGCAGGAGGAGUCCUACUCCUACCGGGAGUAGGACUCCCCUCCAAUCCUAUUCCAACUAGGAAUCCCCAAAGGGGGAAAGAGGAGAAGGGUGCCCGGCCACCUCUCCUAGUCCUAAUAGGACUAGGGGAAGGGGGGAGGCGCGCAGCCCUGGUGGGCAGCCCUUUCACCUUUCCACUAAGGCCCAUGAAGGCCCAUAUGGUUCCCGGGGGGUUCCGGUAACCUCCCGGUAACCCGGUAAAAUCCUGAUUUCACCCGGAACACUUCCGAUGUCCAAACAUAGACUUCCAAUAUAUCAAUCUUUAUGUCUCGACCAUUUCGAGACUCCUCGUCAUGUCCAUGAUCACAUCCGGGACUCCGAACAACCUUCGGUACAUCAAAAUGCAUAGACUCAUAAUAUAACUGUCAUCGUAACCUUAAGCGUGCGGACCCUACGGGUUCAAGAACAAUGUAGACAUGACCGAGACACGUCUCCGGUCAAUAACCAAUAGCGGGACCUGGAUGCCCAUAUUGGCUACUACAUAUUCUACGAAGAUCUUUAUCGGUCAGACCGCAUAACAACAUACGUUGUUCCCUUUGUCAUCGGUAUGUUACUUGCCCGAGAUUCGAUCGUCGGUAUCCAAUACCUAGUUCAAUCUCGUUACCGGCAAGUCUCUUUACUCGUUCCGUAAUACAUCAUUUCACAACUAACAUAUUAGUUGUAAUGCUUGCAAGGCUUAUGUGUAUUACCGAGAGGGCCCAGAGAUACCUCUCCGACAAUCGGAGUGACAAAUCCUAAUCUCGAAAUACGCCAACCCAACAUCGACCUUUGGAGACACCUGUAAUGCUCCUUUAUAAUCACCCAGUUACGUUGUGACGUUUGGUAGCACCCAAAGUGUUCCUCCGGCAAACGGGAGUUACAUAAUCUCAUAGUUAUAGGAACAUGUAUAAGUCAUGAAGAAAAGCAAUAGCAACAUACUAAACGAUCGGGUGCUAAGCUAAUUAAAUGGGUCAUGUCAAUCAGAUCAUUCAACUAAUGAUGUGACCUCGUUAAUCAAAUAACAACUCAUUGUUCAUGGUUAGGAAACAUAACCAUCUUUGAUUAACGAGCUAGUCAAGUAGAGGCAUACUAGUGACACUUUGUUUGUCUAUGUAUUCACACAUGUAUUAUGUUUCCGGUUAAUACAAUUCUAGCAUGAAUAAUAAACAUUUAUCAUGAAAUAAGGAAAUAAAUAAUAACUUUAUUAUUGCCUCUAGGGCAUAUUUCCUUCAGUCUCCCACUUGCACUAGAGUCAAUAAUCUAGAUCACAUCACCAUGUGAUUAACAUCGAUAGUUCACAUCAUCAUGUGAUUAACACCCAUAGUUCACAUCGCUAUGUGACCAACACCCAAAGGGUUUACUAGAUUCAGUAAUCUAGUUCACAUUGCUAUGUAAUUAACACCCAAGGAGUACUAAGGUGUGAUCAUGUUUUGCUUGUGAGAGAAUCUUAGUCAACGGGUCUGCCACAUUCAGAUCCACAUGUAUUUUGCAAAUUUCUAUGUCAACAAUGCUCUGCAUGGAGCUACUCUAGCUAAUUGCUCCCACUUUCAAUAUGUAUCUAGACCGAGACUUAGAGUCAUCUAGAUUAGUGUCAAAAUUUCAUCGGCGUAACCCUUUACGACGAACCUUUUUCCACUUCCAUAAUCGAGAAACAUAUCCUUAUUUCACUAAGGAUAAUUUUGACCGCUGUCCAGUGAUCUACUCCUAGAUCACUAUUGUACUCCCUUGCCAAACUCAGUGGUAGGGCAUACAAUAGAUCUGGUAUACAGCAUGGCAUACUUUAUAGAACCUAUGACUGAGGCAUAGGGAAUGACUUUCAUUCUCUUUCUAUUUUCUGCCGUGGUCGGGCUUUGAGUCUUACUCAACUUCACACCUUGUAACACAGGCAAGAACUCUUUCUUUGACUGUUCCAUUUUGAACUACUUCAAAAUCUUGCCAAGGUAUGUACUCAUUGGAAAAACUUAUCAAGCGUCUUGAUCUAUCUCUAUAAAUCUUGAUACUCAAUAUGUAAGCAGCUUUACCGAAGUCUUUAUUUGAAAAACUCCUUUCAAACACUCCUUUAUGCUUUACAGAAUAAUUCUACAUUAUUUCCGAUCAACAAUAUGUCAUUCACAUAUACUUUAUCAGAAAUGUUGUAGUGCUCCCACUCACUUUCUUGUAAAUACAGGCUUCACCGCAAGUCUGUAUAAAAUUAUAUGCUUUGAUCAACUCAUCAAAGCGUAUAUUCCAACUCCGAGAUUCUUGCACCAGUCCAUAGAUGGAUCACUGGAGCUUGCACAUUUUGUUAGUACCUUUCGGAUUGACAAAACCUUCUGUUGCAUCAUAUACAACUCUUCUUUAAUAAAUCCAUUAAGGAAUGCAGUUUUGUUUAUCAAUUUGCCAGAUUUCAUAAAAUGUGGCAAUUACUAACAUGAUUCAGACAGACUCAAGCAUAGAUACGAGUGAGAAGCUCUCAUCGUAGUCAACACCUUGAACUUGUCGAAAAACCUUUUGCGACAAUUCUAGCUUUGUAGAUAGUAACACUACUAUCAGCGUCCGUCUUCCUCUUGAAGAUCCAUUUAUUCUCAAUUGCUUGCCGAUCAUCGGGCAAGUCAACCAAAGUCCAUACUUUGUUCUCAUACAUGGAUCCCAUCUCAGAUUUUAUGGCUUCAAGCCACUUUGCGGAAUCUGCGCUCACCAUCGCUUCUUCAUAGUUUGUAGGUUCAUCAUGAUCUAGUAACAUGACUUCCAGAACAGGAUUACCGUACCAGUCUGGCGCGGAUCUUACUCUGGUUGAUCUACGAGGUUCAGUAGUAUCUUGAUCUGAAGUUUCAUGAUCAUUAUCAUUGGCUUCCUCACUAACCGGUGUAGUAGUCACAAGAACAGAUUUUUGUGAUGAACUACUUUCCAAUAAGGGAGAAGGUACAAUUACCUUAUCAAGUUUUCUACUUUCCUCCCACUCACUUCUUUCAAGAGAAACUCCUUCUCCAGAAAAACUCCGAAUUUAGCAACAAAAGUCUUGCCUUCGGAUUUGUGAUAGAAGGUGUACCCAACAGUUUCCUUUGGGUAUCCUAUGAAGACGCACUUCUCCGAUUUGAGUUUGAGCUUAUCAGGUUGAAACUUUUUCACAUAAGCAUUGCAACCUCAAACUUUAAGAAACGACAACUUUGGUUUCUUGCCAAACCAUAGUUCAUAAGGCGUCAUCUCAACGGAUUUAGAUGGUGCCCUAUUUAACGUGAAUGCAGCUGUCUCUAAUGCAUAACCCCAAAAUGAUAGUGGUUGAUCGGUAAGAGACAUCAUAGAUCGCACCAUAUCUAAUAAAGUACAGUUAUGACGUUCGCACACACCAUUACAUUGUGGUGUUCCAGGUGGCGUGAGUUUGUGAAACUAUUCCACAUUGUUUUAAUUGAAGACCAAACUCGUAACUCAAAUAUUUGUCUCCGCGAUCAGAUCGUAGAAACUUUAUUUUCUUGUCACGAUGAUUUUCCACUUCACUCUGAAAUUCUUUGAACUUUUCAAAUGUUUCAGACUUAUGUUUCAUCAAGUAGAUAUACCCAUAUCUGCUCAAAUCAUCUAUGAAGUUCAGAAAAUAACGAUACUUGCCGUGAGCCUUAACACUUAUUGGACCGCAUACAUCAGUAUGUAUUAUUUCCAAUAAGUCAGUUGCUCGCUCCGGAGAACGGAGUCUUAGUCAUCUUGCCCAUGAGGCAUGGUUCGCAAGCAUCAAGUGAUUCAUAAUCAAGUGAUUCCAAAAUCCCAUCAGCAUGGAGUUUCUUUGUGCGCUUUACACCAAUAUGACCUAAACGGCAGUGCUACAAAUAAGCUGCACUAUCAUUAUUAACUUUGCAUCUUUUGGUUUCAAUAUUAUGAUUAUGUUUAUCACUACGAUCGAGAUCCAAUGAACUAUUUUCAUUGGGUGUGUAACCAUAUAAGGUUUUAUUCAUGUAAAUAGAACAACAAUUUAUUCUCUUACUUAAAUGAAUAACCGUAUUACAAUAAACAUGAUCAAAUCAUAUUCAUGCUCAACGCAAACACCAAAUAACACUUAUUCAGGUUCAACACUAAUCCCGAAAGUAUAGGGGAGUGUGCGAUGAUGAUCAUAUCAAUCUUGGAACUACUUCCAACACACAUCGUCACUUCACCCUUAACUAGUCUCUGUUUAUUCUGCAACUCCUGUUUCAAGUUACUAAUCUUAGCAACUGAACUAGUAUCAAAUACUGAGGGGUUGCUAUAAACACUAGUAAAGUACACAUCAAUAACAUGUAUAUCAAAUAUACUUAUGUUUACUUUGCCAUCCUUCUUAUCCGCCAAUCACUUGGGGUAGUUCCGCUUCCAGUGACCAGUCCCUUUGAAGUAGAAACACUUAGUCUCAGGCUUAGGACCAGACUUAGGCUUCUUCAUUUGAGCAGCAACUUGCUUACCGUUCUUCUUGAAGUUCCCCUUCUUCCCUUUGCCCUUUUUCUUGAAACUAGUGGUCUUGUCAAUCAUCAACACUUGAUGCUCUUUCUUGAUUUCUACCUUCGUCGAUUUCAAUAUCACGAAGAGCUCGGGAAUCGUUUUCGUCAUCCCUUGCAUACUAUAGUUCAUCAUGAAGUUCAGUAACUUAGUGAUGGUGACUAGAGAAUUCUGUCAAUCACUAUCUUAUCUGGAAGAUUAACUCCCACUUGAUUCAAGCAAUUGAAGUACCCAGACAAUCUGAGCACAUGCUCACUAGUUGAGCGAUUCUCCUCCAUCUUUUAGCUAUAGAACUUGUUGGAAACUUCAUAUCUCUCAACUCGGGUAUUUGCUUGAAAUAUUAACUUCAAUUACUGGAACAUCUCAUAUGGUCCAUGAUGUUCAAAACAUCUUUGAAGUCCCGAUUCUAAGCCGUUAAGCAUGGUGCACUUAAACUAUCAAGUAGUCAUCAUAUUGAGCUAGCCAAACGUUCAUAACGUCUGCAUCUGCUCCUGCAAUAGGUCCGUCACCUAGCGGUGCAUCAAGGACAUAAUUCUUCUGUGCAGCAAUGAGGAUAAACCUCAUAUCGCGGAUCAAAUCCGCAUCAUUGCUACUAACAUUUUUCAACACAAUUUUCUCUAGGAACAUAUCAAAAUAAACAUAUGAAAGCAACAACGCAAGCUAUUGAUUUUACAACAUAAUUUGCAAAAUACUAUCAGGACUAAGUUCAUGAUAAAUUUAAGUUCAAUUAAUCAUAUUACUUAAGAACUCCCACUUAGACAGACAUCCCUCUAAUCCUCUAAGUGAUCACGUGAUCCAAAUCAACUAAACCAUGUCCGAUCAUCACGUGAGAUGGAGUAGUUUUCAAUGGUGAACAUUGUUAUGUUGAUCAUAUCUACUAUAUGAUUCACGCUCGACCUUUCGGUCUCCGUGUUCCAAGGCCAUAUCUGCAUAUGCUAGGCUCGUCAAGUUUAACCUGAGUAUUCUGCGUGUGCAAAAACUGGCUUGCACCCGUUGUAGAUGGACGUAGAGCUUAUCACACCCGAUCAUCACGUGGUGUCUGGGCACGACGAACUUUGGCAACGGUGCAUACUCAGGGAGAACACUUCUUGAUAAUUUAGUGAGAGAUCAUCUUAUAAUGCUACCGUCAAUCAAAGCAAGAUAAGAUGCAUAAAAAGAUAAACAUCACAUGCAAUCAAUAUAAGUGAUAUGAUAUGGCCAUCAUCAUCUUGUGCUUGUGAUCUCCAUCUCCGAAGCACCGUCAUGAUCACCAUCGUCACCGGCGCGACACCUUGAUCUCCAUCGUAGCAUCGUUGUCGUCUCGCCAAUCUUAUGCUUCCACGACUAUCACUACCGUUUAGUAAUAAAGUAAAGCAUUACAUCGCGAUUGCAUUGCAUACAAUAAAGCGACAACCAUAUGGCUCCUGCCAGUUGCCGAUAACUCGGUUACAAAACAUGAUCAUCUCAUACAAUAAAAAUCAGCAUCAUGCCUUGACCAUAUCACAUCACAACAUGCCCUGCAAAAACAAGUUAGACAUCCUCUACUUUGUUGUUGCAUGUUUUACGUGGCUGCUACGGGCUUAAGUAAGAACCAAACUCACCUACGCAUCAAAACCACAACGAUAGUUUGUCAAAUAGACUCCGUUUUAACCUUCGCAAGGACCGGGCGUAGCCAUACUUGGUUCAACUAAAGUUGGAGAGGCAGUCGCCCGCAAGCCAUCUCUGUGCAAAGCACGUCGAGGGAACCGGUCUCGCGUAAGCGUACGCGUAAGGUUGGUCCGGGUCGUCUCGUCCAACAAUACCGCCGAACCAAAGUAUGACAUGCUGGUAGGCAGUAUGACUUGUAUCGUCCACAACUCACUUGUGUUCUACUCGUGCAUAUAACAUCAACAUAAAUAACCUGGCUCUGAUACCACUGUUGGGUUUCGUAGUAAUUUCAAAAAAUUUCCUACGCACACGCAAGAUCAUGUGAUGCAUAGCAACGAGGGGAGAGUGUUGUCUACGUACCCAACGCAGACCGACUGCGGAAGCGAUGACACGACGUAGAGGAAGUAGUCGUACGUCUUCACGAUCCAACCGAUCAAGCACCGAAACUACGGCACCUCCGAGUUCGAGCACACGUUCAGCUCGAUGACGAUCCCCGGACUCCGAUCCAGCAAAGUGUCGGGGAAGAGUUCCGUCAGCACGACGGCGUGGUGACGAUCUUGAUGAACUACAGCAGCAGGGCUUCGCCUAAACUCCGCUACAGUAUUAUCGAGGAAUAUGGUGGCAGGGGGCACCGCACACGGCUAAGGAAUCGAUCACGUGGAUCAACUUGUGUCAACUUGUGUCAACUUGUGUCAACUUGUGUCAACUUGUGUCAACUUGUGUCAACUUGUGUCAACUUGUGUGUUUAGAGGUGCCCCUACCUCCGUAUAUAAAGGAGCCAAGGGGGGGGGGAGGAGGCGCCGGCCAGGAGGAGGUGGCGCAGGAGGAGUCCUACUCCUACCGGGAGUAGGACUCCCCUCCAAUCCUAUUCCAACUAGGAAUCCCCAAAGGGGGAAAGAGGAGAAGGGUGGCCGGCCACCUCUCCUAGUCCUAAUAGGACUAGGGGAAGGGGGAGGCGCGCAGCCCUGGUGGGCAGCCCUUUCACCUUUCCACUAAGGCCCAUGAAGGCCCAUAUGGUUCUCGGGGGGUUCCGGUAACCUCCCGGUAACCCGGUAAAAUCCUGAUUUCACCCGGAACACUUCCGAUGUCCAAACAUAGACUUCCAAUAUAUCAAUCUUUAUGUCUCGACCAUUUCGAGACUCCUCGUCAUGUCCGUGAUCACAUCCGGGACUCCGAACAACCUUCGGUACAUCAAAAUGCAUAGACUCAUAAUAUAACUGUCAUCGUAACCUUAAGCGUGCGGACCCUACGGGUUCGAGAACAAUGUAGACAUGACCGAGGCACGUCUCCGGUCAAUAACCAAUAGCGGGACCUGGAUGCCCAUAUUGGCUACUACAUAUUCUACGAAGAUCUUUAUCGGUCAGACCGCAUAACAACAUACGUUGUUCCCUUUGUCAUCGGUAUGUUACUUGCCCGAGAUUCGAUCGUCGGUAUCCAAUACCUAGUUCAAUCUCGUUACCGGCAAGUCUCUUUACUCGUUCCGUAAUACAUCAUUUCACAACUAACAUAUUAGUUGUAAUGCUUGCAAGGCUUAUGUGUAUUACCGAGAGGGCCCAGAGAUACCUCUCCGACAAUCGGAGUGACAAAUCCUAAUCUCGAAAUACGCCAACCCAACAUCGACCUUUGGAGACACCUGUAAUGCUCCUUUAUAAUCACCCAGUUACGUUGUGACGUUUGGUAGCACCCAAAGUGUUCCUCCGGCAAACGGGAGUUACAUAAUCUCAUAGUUAUAGGAACAUGUAUAAGUCAUGAAGAAAAGCAAUAGCAACAUACUAAACGAUCGGGUGCUAAGCUAAUUAAAUGGGUCAUGUCAAUCAGAUCAUUCAACUAAUGAUGUGACCUCGUUAAUCAAAUAACAACUCAUUGUUCAACAUAACCAUCUUUGAUUAACGAGCUAGUCAAGUAGAGGCAUACUAGUGACACUUUGUUUGUCUAUGUAUUCACACAUGUAUUAUGUUUCCGGUUAAUACAAUUCUAGCAUGAAUAAUAAACAUUUAUCAUGAAAUAAGGAAAUAAAUAAUAACUUUAUUAUUGCCUCUAGGGCAUAUUUCCUUCACCAAGGACAUAAAAGGUAUAAGAAGUUUCUUUGGUCAUGCCGGCUUUUAUAGGAGGUUCAUUAAGGACUUUUCUAAAAUCUCUAGGCCUCUGACUAAUUUAUUGCAAAAAGAUAUUUCUUUUGUCUUUGAUGAUGAUUGUGUAGAAGCAUUUGAAACACUUAAGAAAGCUUUGAUCACAACACCUAUUGUUCAGCCACCUGAUUGGAAUUUACCUUUUGAAAUUAUGUGCGAUGCUAGUGAUUAUGUUGUAGGUGUUGUUUUAGGGCAAAGAGUCGAUAAGAAAUUGAAUGUUAUCCAGUAUGCUAGUAAGACUCUUGAUUCUUCCCAGAGAAAUUAUGCUACUACUGAAAAAGAGUUCUUAGCAGUUGUGUUUGCAUGUGAUAAGUUUAAACCUUAUAUUGUUGAUUCCAAAGUUACUAUUCACACCGAUCAUGUUGCUAUUAAAUAUCUUAUGGAAAAGAAAGAUGCUAAGCCUAGACUCAUUAGGUGGGUUCUUUUGCUCCAAGAAUUUGACUUGCAUAUUAUUGAUAGAAAGGGAGCUGAGAACCCCAUUGCAAACAACUUGUCUAGGUUAGAGAAUGUUCUUGAUGACCCAUUGCCUAUUAAUGAUAGUUUUCCUGAUGAACAAUUAGCGGUUGUCAAUGCUUCUCGUACUGCUGCUUGGUAUGCUGAUUAUGCUAAUUACAUUGUUGCUAAAUAUAUACCGCCUAGUUUCACAUACCAGCAAAAGAAAAAAUUCUUUUAUGAUUUAAGACAUUACUUCUGGGAUGAUCCACACCUUUAUAAAGAAGGAGUAGAUGGUAUUAUUAGACGUUGUGUGCCUGAGCAUGAACAUGAACAAAUCCUACGCAAGUGUCACUCUGAAUCUUAUGGAGGACACCACACUGGAGAUAGAACUGCACACAAGGUAUUACAAUCUGGUUUUUAUUGGCCUACUCUCUUCAAAGAUGCUCGUAAGUUUGUCUUAUCUUGUGAUGAAUGUCAAAGAAUAGGUAACAUUAGUAGACGUAAAGAAAGGCCUAUGAAUUAUUCUCUUGUUAUUGAACCGUUUGAUGUUUGGGGCUUUGAUUAUAUGGUACCUUUUCCUGCCUCUAAUGGUUAUACACAUAUUUUAGUUGCUGUUGAUUACAUUACUAAGUGGGUAGAAGCUAUUCCAACUAGUAGUGUUGAUCAUAACACUUCUAUUAAAAUGCUUAAAGAAGUUAUUUUUCCGAGGUUUGGAGUCCCUAGAUAUCUUAUGACUGAUGGUGGUUCACACUUUAUUCAUGGUGCUUUCCGUAAGAUGCUUGCUAAGUAUGAUGUCAAUCAUAGAAUCGCAUCUCCUUAUCAUCCGCAGUCUAGUGGUCAAGUAGAGUUGACCAAUAGAGAGCUCAAAUUAAUUUUGCAAAAGACUGUGAAUAGAUCUAGAAAGAAUUGGUCCAAAAAACUUGAUGAUGCAUUAUGGGCCUAUAGAACUGCAUACAAAAAUCCUAUGGGUAUGUCUCCAUAUAAGAUGGUAUAUGGAAAAGCAUGUCAUUUACCUCUUGAACUUGAACAUAAAGCAUAUUGGGCUAUUAAAGAGCUCAAUUAUGACUUCAAACUUGCCGGUGAGAAGAGGUUGUUUGAUAUUAGCUCACUUGAUGAAUGGAGAACCCAAGCAUAUGAGAAUGCCAAGCUUUUCAAAGAAAAAGUCAAACGCUGGCAUGAUAAGAGGAUACAAAAGCGUGAGUUUAACGUAGGAGAUUAUGUGUUAUUAUUCAACUCUCGUUUAAGAUUUUUUGUAGGGAAACUUCUCUCAAAAUGGGAAGGUCCCUACGUUAUCGCGGAGGUCUAUCGUUCUGGUGCUAUAAAAAUCAACAACUUUGAAGGCACAAAUCCGAGGGUGGUAAACGGUCAAAGAAUUAAACAUUAUAUUUCAGGUAAUCCUAUCAAUGUUGAAACUAAUAUUAUUGAAACCAUAACCCCUGAGGAAUACAUAAGAGACACUUCCAGAACGUUCCAGACUCCGAAAAGGCAUAGAUAUGUGGUACGGUAAGUAAACUGACUCCAAAAGAACUCUAAUGGCAAUUUUUAUCAGUUUUGGAUUAUUUGAGAAUUUUAGGAAGAAAGAGGUAGUCCGAAAGGGAUACGAGGCUCCCACGAGAGAGGAGGCCCCCCUGUAGGGUGCGCCCCCCUGUCCCGUGGGCACCUCGUGUGCCUCCCGGACUCCGUUUUCUUGUAUGUUAUGUAUUUUGGUCGGUAAAAAUUCAUUAUAUAUACUCCCGAAGGUUUUGACCACCGUAUCACGCGAAUAUCUUCUGUUUUCGUUUCGAGCUGUUCAUGUUGCAGAAUAAAGCAAGAUGUCUUCUCAGGAAUCAGUUGGGGAGAGUCGGGUGUCUCACCCAACGCCAGGUCCAGGAGCAAAUAAUAAUGCCUAUCACUUCGGACCAUUAACGGAGGAUGAGAUGGAGGCUAAUUUGAAAAGGAUAGAUGCCAUGGAGGAAGAUCAAUAAGUUACCUCUCGUCUCCAAGCAGAAUUCACUAUGGGGGAACUACCUAGCCUGGUUGUCCCUGCUUCGGUCAUCCCUUCCAACUCUAGAUUUCUUUCUUAUGAAAAUAUGAAAAAGAGUUUUACGUGUUCUCCAGAAGCUAUGCAGCAUCCUUGGGUAAAAGGAGCUUUGGCCGUUACGGGCAAGCUCCGUAAAGAAAUUAUGGACCUCAAACAACAAGUUAAUAAGCUCGAGGAGGAGAACCGUAUCCUGAAGGGCAUCAUCGCCAAGAAGAUCAUAACACCAACCGUAAAGAAGGAGAAAUAAUCACAUGGGUAUGGGAACUCCCCUUGGCAACUGCCAAGCUUGGGGGAGGUGCCCCGGUAUCGUAUCACCAUCACACUCCUAUCUUGACCGCUUUAUUUAGUUCAAUCCUUUUAGUAGUAUCUUGAUCUAGUAGAUUGAAGUUUUGAUAUCAAGUAGUUUUGAGUUUUGCAUUGUGAUCUCUUUAUGUAAGCGAGUCUGUGUGCUAUCUAUAAUAAAGAUUAGUGUUGAGUCAAGGGCUUUGCUAUGUUGCUAUGAUCUUGUGAAAGUAGAAAGAACAGAAAGAGUUCAUAUUGAUCUUAUGGAUAGUGAUAACUUCACACAUAGAAAGUAUGAGGCAUAAAAAUUGUUGAGAGUUGAUGAACGUAGCCUUGGUCAUCGUUGCAAUUAAUAGGAAGUGAUAAGGAAAGAGGGGUUCACAUAUAAAUAUAUUAUCUUGGACAUCUUUUAUGAUUGUGAAGCACUCAUUAAGUAUGACAUGCUAAAAGAGUUGAUGUUGGACAAGGAAGACAAUGUAAUGGUUUAUGUUUUCUGACAUCUCAGUUAAAGUAUAUUGUCAUUGACCUUCCAAACAUGUUGAGCUUGCCUUUCCCCCUCUUGCUAGCCAAAUUCCUUGCACCAAGUAGAGAUACUACUUGUGCUUCCAAAUAUCCUUAAACCUAGUUUUGCCAUGAGAGCCCACCAUAUCUACCUAUGGAUUGAGUAAGAUCCUUCAAGUAAGUUGUCAUUGGUGCAAGCAAUAAAAAUUGCUCUCUAAAUAUGUAUGACUUAUUAGUGUAGAGAAAAUAAGCUUUGUACGAACUUGUUGUGGAAGUAAUAAAAGCGACAGAUUGCAUAAUAAAGGUCCACAUACAAGGAUCAAUAUAAAGUGACGUUCUUUUGCAUUAAGAUUUCGUGCAUCAACCCUAAAUGCGCAUGACAACCUCUGCUUCCCUCUGCGAAGGGCCUAUCUUUUACUUUAUGUUUUUACUUUAUGCUUGAGUCAAGGUGAUCCUCACCUUUCCCUAUUUCAUUUUAUCCUUUGGCAAGCUCUUCGUGUUUGAAAGAUCAUGAUACAUAUAUCCAAUUGGAUGUAAGUUGGCAUAGGCUAUUAUUGUUGACAUCACCUAAAGGUGAAUACGUUGGGAGCCAACAGAAUAAGCCCCUAUCUUUCUCAGUGUCCGGCUGAAACUCUAUAACCACAAGUAUUGCGUGAGUGUUAGAAAUUAUGGGAGACUACGAGAUAGUUGAGUAUGUGAGCUUGUUGAAAAUCUCUAUUAUUGACUCUUUCUGAUGUUAUGAUAAAUUGCAAUUGCUUCAAUGACUGAGAUUAUAGUUUGUUAGUUCUCGAUGAAGUUUAUGAACCAUACUUGACAUUGUGAAUUGCUUAUUACUUGAGCAUAGGAAAUCAUAUGACAAAAUCUAUAUAUGUCGUUGUUAUUAGAAUGAUCAUGAUGCCCUCAUGUCCGCAUUUUAUUUUUAUCGACACCUCUAUCUCUAAACAUGCGGACAUAUUUUUCGAUUUCGGCUUCCGCUUGAGGACAAGCGAGGUCUAAACUUGGGGGAGUUGAUACGUCCAUUUUGCAUCAUGCUUUUAUAUCAAUAUUUAUUGCAUUAUGGGCUGUUAUUACACAUUAUAUCUCAAUACUUAUGGCUAUUCUCUCUUAUUUUACAAGGUUUACCAUGAAGAGGGGGAAUGCCGGCAGCUGGAAUUCUGGCUGAAAAGGAGCAAACAUUGGAAACCUAUUCUGCACAACUCCAAAAGUCCUGAAACUCCACGAAACAACUUUUUGGAUUUAUUAAGAAUUUAUGAGCGAAAGAAAUAGGCCAGGGGGGCCACACCCUGUCCAGGAGACAAGGGGCGCCCCCUCCUGUAGGGCGCGGCCCCCUAUCUCCUGGGCCCCCUGGUGGGCCUCCGGCGUCCAUCUUCUGCUAUAUCAUCACCCUUUCCCUGGAAAAAAUCGUGGGCAAGCUUACGGGAUGAAACUCCGCCGCCACGAGGCGGAACCUUGGCGGAAUCAAUCUAGGGCUCUGGCGGAGCUGUUCUACCGGGGACACUUCCCUCCGGGAGGGGGAAAUCAUCACCAACGUCAUCACCAACGAUCCUCUCAUCGGGAGGGGGUCAAUCUCCAUCAACAUCUUCACCAGCACCAUCUCCUCUCAAAACUCUACUUCAUCUCUUAUAUCCAAUCUUGUAUCAAAACCACAAAUUGGUACCUGUGGAUUGCUAGUAGUGUUGAUUACUCCUUGUAGUUGAUGCUAAUUGGUUUACUUGGUGGAAGAUCAUAUGUUCAGAUCCUUUAUGCAUAUUAUUACUCCUCUGAUUAUGAACAUGAAUAUCCUUUGUGAGUAGUUACGUUUGUUCCUGAGGACAUGGGUGAAGUCUUGCUAUUAGUAGUCAUGUGAAUUUGGUAUUCGUUCGAUAUUUUGAUGAGAUGUAUGUUGUCUUUCCUCUAGUGGUGUUAUGUGAACGUCGACUACAUGAAACUUCACCAUUAUUUGGGCCUAGAGGAAGGCAUAGGGAAGUAAUAAGUAGAUGAUGGAUUGCUAGAGUGACAGAAGCUUAAAUCCUAGUUUAUGCAUUGCUUCGUUAGGGGUUGAUAUGGACCCAUAUGUUUAAUGUUGUGGUUAGGUUAACCUUAAUACUCAUUUUUGUAGUUGUGGAUGCUUGCAAUAGGGGUUAAUCAUAAGUGGGAUGCUUGUCCAAGUUAGGGCAGUACCCAAGUGCCGAUCCACCCACAUAUCAAAUUAUCAAAUUGUACCGAACGCGAAUCUUACGAACGUGAUGAAACUAGCUUGACGAUAAUUCCCAAUGUGUCCUCGGGAGCUCCUUCCUCAUUAUUAGAAUUGUCCAGGCUUAUCCUUUGCUACAUAAAGGAUUGGGCCACCUUGCUGCACUUUAUUUACUUUAAUUAAUUUUUGCUUGUUACUAUUUAUCUUAUCACAAAACUUUCUAUCACCUACUAUUUCAGUGCUUGCAGAGAAAACCUUACUAAAAACCGCUUAUCAUGUCCUUCUGCUUCUCGUUGGGUUCGACACUCUUACUUCUCGAAAGGACUACGAUAGAUCCCCUACACUCGUGGGUCAUCAACUACCGCGGUAGACCGCGGUACUACCGUGGGCGCGGCAGAGCCCGGACCUGAGAAAAAGAGCAUGGACAAGGCGCGGUAGAUCCGCAGGCGCGGUACUACCGCGGCCCCAUGCGGUACUACCGCAGGUCAGCCACAGGCCAGGCCCGGUAGGCACAGAUGUAAAAAUUUACAUCCGUGGCUACCUCCGCUGAGAUAUUGUCGUGCGAAAAUCUGACACAGAACUACCGCGACCAGGGGUGCGGCACUACCAUGAAGGGUGCGGAUGUAAAAAAUUACAUCCACCCCUACCUCCGCUCCUACUUCUGUACCUGGCCAGGCGCCAUGGUACUACAGCGCCGGAGCACAGUACUACCGCGUAGAGCGCGGAUGUAAAAAAUUACAUCCGCGCCUGCUACCGCUUGAGCAGCGGCGCCAGUCCAGAACUCACGGUACUACCGCUAGUGAGGAGCGGUACUACCGCUAGUGAGGAGCGGUACUACCGUGGGAGCCCACGGUACUACCAUGGGAGCCCACGGUACUACCGUGCCGGAGCCCGGUACUACCGCUAGCCUGAGGAGAGCAACACGGAGACCUUCAUUUCACAGAGACAAGGUGAGACGGAGGAACACUCCAAAGAGCUAGAGGAAAGGCGGUGCAAAAGGGAACGUGUACGUGAGAUUCCACCCAAACCUUUCCAAAGCGGACCCCCUCUUAAUAGUAUGACUUUCCUACGACUCAACUCCACCGAUCAGAACCGUAGAGAAACGCCAUCUUCAAUAAUCUUCGAGGGGCAUCAAAUCGUCUUGUGUUUAGUCAUGAUAUCUCUGAAAAGCUCAAUACACACGAUUAGUCCGCAAAGGCAUUUUCAUCAAUCACCAAAACUACUGAGGGACAAGAAUGCCCUUACAAGGAGGUCAUUGCAUUUGGAGGGAUUCUGGGUCCGAUUUUUGAGGGACGACAGUUGAACUGCCAUCUCCAGAAUCAUCCGGAGGUGGACGACAUUCAGUAGCGAUGUGCCAUGAGGGCGGCCAAGCUUCGUGAUGUUGAUGUCACUACUGGCAUGUUGGUCAAUACCUCUAAUUUCAUUUUUCAUUUUUCUAAUGAUGAAAUUUUUGAUAAUGCAAAUAAAUUAGGAGUUUCACUAGGUAGUAAUGUUAGUGAAAUUUCAAAUUCUGUUAAUUAUCUCCUGGAUUAGAGGCUGAGCGGGCUUUAGAGAUGAUUCGCAACUUAGCAGCGGUUAAGCCCAUGAGUGAUUCUGAGUUUGAUGCGUUGGGGGUCAGGGUGCUCGAUAAUUUUUGUGCGGAUCUUAUUCCUCCCAUGCCUGAGUCGGAGGAGGAGGAUGAUACAUCUGAGAAUGUUGUGGCUGGACCUUCUGAGACUGGUUGAGGAUCGGUUGCAGAGUCAGAAUAUUACUAAACGCAAGUGGAAGCGGAAGGUUUACCCGGUGUCCGCAGUGCGUAGGAGUGCUUGGAUCCGUACGGCUAAAAAAAUUCCAUGAUGAGUUAUGAAAGGAAUCUUUUGGAAUAGCAGAGGUCUAAAAGACUUGGCUAAAAGAAGGUUUGUUGCAGAGGCGUCUGUCGAGCAUAGAUUAGAUUUUAUCACUUUAUCGGAAACUGGCAGAGAUAAUUUUGCACCACAAUUUCUAAAUACUUUGUCGGGAGGUAUUGAUUAUGACUGACACUGUCUGCCACCGAGAGGGAGAUCGGGUGGGAUCUUACUCGGAGUUCGAUGCGAUUCGCUCGAGGUUCUAAGUGUGGUAAUGGGAGAUUUUGCAGUCAAGUUUCGGGUGCAGUCGAAGGCUGAUGGGUUCAAUUGCGCUUUGGUGGCGGUAUAUGGUGCCGCACAGCCCGAACUCAAGCCUGAGUUCUUGGCUGACCUGGUUAGGAUUUGCGGCUCUAAGCAGCUUCCUAUCCUGGUGGGGGGUGAUUUCAACAUCAUUAGAAGGCGUGAGGAGAAGAACAAUGAUAACUUUGACGGCAGAUGGUCGUUCAUGUUUAAUACUAUCAUUGAAAGCUUGGAUCUGAGAGAGAUUGAGCUCUCGAGAAGAAAAUUCACUUGGGCUAAUGCGAUGCCAAACCCAACGUUUGAAAAGUUGGAUCGAGUGUUGGCUAGCGUCGAAUGGGAACAGAAGUUUCCCUUUGUAACAGUUCAGGCUAUUUCCCGUGGAAUUUCUGACCACACGCCGUUAUUUGUUGACUCUGGUGAGGCCACCCACUUGGGAAACAAAAAUUCGUUCUCUUUUGAGCUUGCUUGGUUUGAACGAGACGGCUUCUUUGAUCUCGUAGCCAGAGAGUGGGCUACGGAUACCGGAGGUAAGACUGUGCUUGAGCGCUGGCAGAAUAUGAUCAGGCAUUUGAGAAGUUUCCUGUGUGGGUGGGCUAAGCAUCUUAGCGGGAUUUAUAAGGUCGAAAAGGAACGACUCCUUACCCUUAUUCAGUCCUUAGAUGUAAACGCUGAAAUCACAGUUCUGCCAGCCUCGAAGCUUCAUGCCAAGCUUGACGCGGAGAUAAGGUUGAAAGAGCUUCUUCGAGAGGAGGAAUUGAAGUGGGCGUUGCGGUCCAAGGUCCGGCGAGUAGUCCAGGGGGACGCGAACACUCAAUUCUUUCACUUGAUUGCUAAUGGUAAACAGAAAAAGAAGAGGAUCUUUCAGCUUGAACAAGAUGAAGGAACAAUUUUAGGACAGGAAAACCUAAAAUUAUACAUUAUCGAGUAUUACAAGAAGCUGUUUGGACCCCCAGAGGAUAACUGUGUGUCUCUGGAUGAGUCCAGGAUUGAGGAUGUUCCUCAACUAACAGCAAUGGAGAACGAUAUUUUGGCGGCUCCUUUUACCGAGAAAGAAGUGUUUGAGGCCAUAUCGCAAAUGAAAAAUAAUAAGGCUCCCGACCCGGAUGGAUUUCCGGCUGAGUUCUAUAAGAAGUGCUGGCAUAUUAUUAAGGGGGAUUUGUUGCCUUUGUUCAAUGAUCUCUUCUCUGGGCAGCUUCAACUUUUUCAACUGAAUUUUGGAACGAUAACCCUUCUUCCUAAGAAAACAGAGGCUAUGAGAAUUGAGAAAUUCAGGCCAAUCUGUCUUCUUAAUGUUAGUUUAAAAUUUUCACCAAGGUCGGGACUAAUAGGCUCACACAGACCGCGCAUGCUGUGGUGCAGCCUACCCAAACUGCUUUCAUGCCGGACAGGAACAUCCUUGAAAGGGUUGUGGUCCUUCAUGAAACGCUCCAUGAGAUUCACACGAAAAAGCUAGAUGGAGUUGUUUUAAAGGUGGAUUUCGAGAAAGUGUACAACAAAGUCAAAUGGCCUUUCCUUCAGCAGGCCUUACGCAUGAAGGGUUUUGAUGAAGCUUGGUGACGCCAGGUAGAAUCUUUCACGUAAAAAGGGAGUGUUGGAAUUAAAGUGAAUGAUGACAUAGGUCAUUAUUUCCAGACACAUAAGGGCUUGAGACAAGGUGAUCCAAUGUCUCCUAUUAUGUUCAACAUUGUGGUUGACAUGUUGGCAAUUCUGAUAGAAAGAGCAAAGGAGGCCGGUCAGGUGGGUGGCUUGGUGCCUCAUCUAGUUGAUGGUGGUGUGUCCAUCCUGCAGUACGCUGAUGAUACAAUCAUCUUUAUGGAGCACGACUUGGCAAAAGCGAGAAAUAUGAAGCUGGUGUUAUGCUUAUUUGAACAAUUGACCGGAUUGAAGAUCAAUUUUCAUAAAAGCGAGUUGUUCUGCUUUGGUAGAGCCAAUGAGGAACAAGAGGCUUAUAGGCAAUUGUUUGGAUGCGAAUUGGGGGCGUUACCUUUCACGUACUUAGGUAUACCCAUUCACCAUCGUAAGCUGACAAAUAGAGAAUGGAAGAGCAUCGAAGACCGGUUUGAGAAGAAACUCAGCUGCUGGAAGGGCAAACUCAUGUCAUAUGGAGGCCGACUGAUCCUCAUUAAUUCGGUGCUCACGAGUAUGCCUAUGUUUCUCUUAUCUUUCUUCAAAGUCCCAGUUGGUGUUAGGAAAAGGCUGGACUUCUAUCGAUCCCGGUUCUUCUGGCAGAGUGAUGAACUAAAGAGAAAAUACCGACUUGCCAAAUGGGAUAUCAUCUGUCGACCAAAGGACCACGGGGGCCUUGGUAUUGAGAAUCUUGAAGUCAAAAACAGAUGUCUUCUCAGUAAGUGGUUGUAUAAACUUUCAGUUGAAACUGAGGCCACAUGGGCGCAGAUUCUACGUAGUAAGUAUCUGCAGUCCAAGACGUUGUCCCAAGCGACAGUGAGACCGACAUACUCGCCGUUUUGGAAGGGGCUUAUGAGAGUCAAAGCUGCCUUCUUUAAUAGAACAAAGUUUAUAGUCGGUGAUGGUAACACCACUCGCUUCUGGGAGGAUACUUGGCUUGGUGAAACACUGUUAGCGUUUCAGUAUCCGUCCCUGUAUCGUAUUGUUCAACGACGUGAUGCUCUUGUUGCCAUGAUUUUGCAGUCCAUCCCCCUUAAUAUUCAGUUUAGGAGGGCGCUUGUGGGCGACCGGUGGGAAGCAUGGCUUCAUUUGGUGAGUAGACUAAUGGAGGUUCAGCUAUCUCAUCAGCCCGAUCAGUUGUGUUGGAAGCUUACUAGGUCUGGAGAGUUCACAGUUAAGUCGAUGUAUAUCGAUGUCAUUAACUCUAGUGUUAUCCCUAGUUCCAAAGAGGUUUGGAAAGUCAAAGUUCCUUUGAAAAUUAAAGUGUUUAUGUGGUUCGUACAUAAACAAGUCAUUCUAACAAAGGAUAAUUUGGUUAAGCGCAACUGGACAGGAUCUACUAGGUGUAGUUUUUGUGAUCGGGACGAAACCAUCAAGCACCUCUUCUUUGACUGCCCAUUGGCAAAGGUUUUAUGGCACACGGUGCAUAUUGCCUUUAACAUUACUCCUCCGAAUUCGGUCAACGUGGCUUGUUGGGGUAGAGUCCGAAACAGCUAGACACAUUCGUGUAGGAGUAUGUGCUUUGUUGUGGGCAAUUUGGAAUUGCAGAAAUGAUUUGGCUUUUAACAGAACAACGAAUAUUCAUUUUUUGCAGGUUUUAUUCCGAGCUACUGCGUUGAUCCGUAUGUGGUCCUUACUCUGACGGAGGCCAGGGAGCGUUGGUUACUGGAUCUGUCCGGUGGGAGAUGGUAGCACGGGAUAUCUUCAACCGGUUUGGAUGGCGGUCAUGUAAUAGGAUAAUCAAUUAGUUUACCUAUCUUUGUUUUUCCAUCUGGUUGUGGCUUUUGGACCUUUUGUUUUUGGCUCUUUGUGAGCUCGCCGUUUUUUUGUUUUCAGACUUUACGACCUUGUUGAACACCUUUAUUUAUCUAUAUAUGUGGCCGCAUGCAUCGUUCUGAUGCAGAGGCCGGGGAGUCCCCCCUUUUCGAAAAAAACUUGAAGGUUCCGAUUCAAUCGCAUCACUCAACAACAAUAGGACGAUAAUCGUCAGGAAAGAAAGAAGAAGUGGGAGAAAAAGAAACCAAAAACCUUAAUUUGUCCUAGUAGCAAAAAUUUGGUGGCGCGUUGGCCGCCAAUCACCGAAUUAAUAGGGUAGUAGCUAGCCUCACCCCGCGAAUCGCCUGCCUCGUUCAAGGGGACAAUCUCCGAGGCAGGGCCACGAGGAGGGGGGCCGGGAGCCGUUGCGCUUCUACCAGCAGAUCAAGGACAACGAGGACCUCACCAUGCUCGUCGUCCCUCCCAAGUUCGUGGAGGUGAUGGACACCUGGCUGGUCAUCAAGCGACUCCCGCGCAUGGUCAGGCUGUCGGCGAACAAGCGGUGCGUGUUCUCGGUGCAGGUCCAGAGCUUCAAGGGGCACAUGGUGCUUGGCCGGGGCUGGAACUACUUCUGCCGCCGCCACCGGAUCGUCCCCGGCGACCUCGUCGUUGUGCGCAUCUCAGGACUCGGACUGAAGGUUCAGAUCUACAACCACGACUCCUCGGUCAUGUGCAGGUUUCGUUGCAGCAGGCACAACUGCCAUGGUGACAUCGAGCAUGCUAUGUAGUUAAGUUAAGUAAGGUGUUAGUGUUGAACUUUUAUGAUGUGUGGCGAGACUUAUGCUAGGAACUUGUUCAUAUUUUGACCAGGAGCAGCACCCUGGCAUGGAUCAGGGAAGGAUGAUGCCCCUGCUGUUAAUCUAGACUCAUGCUAUGUAGUUAAAUUUGCUGUCAUUUUCUUGCUUGUUGUGUUAAGUUUGCUGUCAUUUCCUUGCUUGCUUUCUUUGAUCUUGCUGUUGUGCUGAUCAUGUGGUGGUAUGGCCACCACAUUUGAAUGGAGUGAGCAGAACACAAACGUUAUUUGCAACCAAAUAACUGAAAUUUGCAUCUACUCACACCCUAAGCACAAAAACGCCAACCAAACAGCAGGAGGGUAAGUGCCCCUCCAUGCGAUGCAGGCAACCAAACAGGUUGCAUCUGCUGCAUAUGAGGCUGCAUUUCAAGAACCAGGCUGGCUGGAGAUGGACAUGCAAUGCAACUACUAUUACAAACUGCAACCAAACACGCCACAAGUGAAUCGUUCGGAUCUGUUGUAGAUUUACGAUCAUUCGGAAAUAGAUUUGUUGAUCUUUAAAAUGAAAUGGCAUAGCUCCUGUCGAUUGCUCGAGAGAAAAAAAAUACUCCCUUAGUCCCGCAAUAAUGGUUCUGACUUUGUAUAAAGUUGUACUAGUGCUCUCUCCGGUCCUUUUUAUUCUGCAUAUAAGAAUUGUCUGAAGUCAAACUUGCUAAAUUUAUACAAUAUGAAAACUAAAGUCAUGAUGCAUCUAAUGUUAUUUAUUUCACAUUCUAAAUAUUGGUAUUUUUUUUCUAUAAACGUGAUCAAACUUUACGAGGUUUGACUUCGGACAAAUCUUAUAUGGAACUAAAAAGGACCGGCGAUAUCGUUGGUGGGCGUGUGAAGGUGUGCCUCCGGCGGAUCUAUAUUUGGUGGAUUUGCUCGGAUCUCGUCGUUGUUCGUCUAUGUUCGUGUGUCUUCGGAUUGAAUUUUUCUGAUCUACGUUAUUCUUCAUCUGCGGUGGUUGCUGUUCUGGUGCGCUGGUCCUACGGGGCCUGAGUACGACGACUUUCCGACUGUCUACUACAACAAGUUGUGCCCGACUCCGGUGAUGGAAGGGCGAUGACGGCGGCGCGCCUUCGGCUCGCUUCAAUGCUGAUAGUUGUCGCUAGGUGGUCUACGGAUCUGGAUGUGAUUUCUAUUAUUUCUGGUAUUCGUUGUACUGCCAUGAUUGAAGAUGAAUAGAUCGGAAAUUUUCUCAAAAAAAAAAGACCGAAGGAGGCCUAAAGAAAAAGGACCGAAAGAGUACUUGCCUAUAUAGCUGGCCAAACGGGCCGGGCUAAACAGGCCGGCCCGCGAGCACGCCGGCACGGCCCGCCAUGGGCCAGGCACGGCACGGGCUAAACGGGCCGUGCCCGGCACGCGGCACGCCUUGGGCCNNNNNNNNNNNNNNNNNNNNNNNNNNNNNNNNNNNNNNNNNNNNNNNNNNNNNNNNNNNNNNNNNNNNNNNNNNNNNNNNNNNNNNNNNNNNNNNNNNNNNNNNNNNNNNNNNNNNNNNNNNNNNNNNNNNNNNNNNNNNNNNNNNNNNNNNNNNNNNNNNNNNNNNNNNNNNNNNNNNNNNNNNNNNNNNNNNNNNNNNNNNNNNNNNNNNNNNNNNNNNNNNNNNNNNNNNNNNNNNNNNNNNNNNNNNNNNNNNNNNNNNNNNNNNNNNNNNNNNNNNNNNNNNNNNNNNNNNNNNNNNNNNNNNNNNNNNNNAGCCCAGCAGGCUGAAAAUGUGCAGCCCAGCGUGCUAAACGGGCCAUCGGGCCGGCCCGUUUAUUAAUCAGGCCGUGCCUGGGCCAAGGAGCAGCGCCCGUGGGCCGGCACGGCACGGCCCGGCUAUUAAACGUGCCAUGGCGGGCCGUGCCGGGCCAAGCACGAUUAGCACGGGCCGUGCCGUGCCGUGCCGGGCCGGCCCGUUUGGCCAGGUCUGCUUGCCUACUGCCGAGUUUGCUCCGCCGGUUUCCUAGAAAACAUCGCAGGGCCUAAGCCAGAAAAACAGGGUGUAAUAAAUCAUCAAAUUCCCCAAUUGUUUACUACUCCGAGAGUGCAAGCUGAGCUGAGCCAUCCGGCCAUGGCGGAAUCUGCGGUGGCCUCGGUGGUGCGAGCGUUCGGUACGCUGGCCACCGAAGAGGCCGCCUUCCUCCGCGGCGUCCACGCCGACGCCGACCUUCUCAGGGCCGAGCUCCGCCGCAUGCAGUGCUUCCUCCGCGACGCCGACGCCAUGCGCCGCGACGGCGCGCGCCUCACCAACUGGGUCGUGGACGUGCGCGCCGCGGCCUACGACGCGGAGAACGCGCUCGAGGAGGCCGACUACCUCGGGCGCCGCCGCCGCCUGCGGCUCGGGUUCGCGGGCGCCCUUGUAUGGUGCGCCGAUGUCGCCGCGCUUCACACGUUCGGCGUGAACAUCAGGCGCGUCCGGGCCAGGAUCCGUGAGAUCUCCGACGGCGCCGCAGCCUACGGGAUCGCUGAUCUUGGGGAGACCACCGCCGUCCCAGCUGACCUCCAGGAGCAAGACGAGGUGAUCCCUUAUGACCUCAGCUGGAACAGUGCAGAUACUAAUUUGAUUGUUGGAUUCCAUGAGGAGAGAAAUAAUAUAUUCAGAGAGUUAAUGAAUCAUAAGAUUUGUCAAAUUUGUGUGAUCUCCAUAGUUGGGAUGGCUGGAUCCGGCAAGUCCACACUUGCAAGGAAAAUUUACAACGACCCCCGUGUUAAACAACAUUUUCAUUCCUCGAGUUGGAUUUCAGUGUCCGAGAAGUACAGGUUUCUUGAUCUGAUCAAGGAUAUUGCUAGGAGGAUCAUGGGUAUGACAAGGAAAAUGAUAGUUAUUAGAGAGGAGAAGGACAAGGACAGAGAGGAUGGUGGGGCAAACAGUGGUAGCAAGUCAAAGGAGGUAACCAUUGAAGAAUUGGAAAAUAUGGAGGAGGAUGAUGUAUUGAAAUUCCUGCACGAGUUCCUCGCUCAUAGAAGAUUUCUUGUAGUGUUGGAUGAUGUUUGGAAGAGUAAUUCUUACAGUAAGAUAAAUAGGAUCCUCAGUGUCUUGCCGGAUGUGAACAAUGGUAGUAGAAUCAUUUUGACCACCCGGGAUAUGGAUGUUCCAAAGCAUGUCGCCAGGAUGAAAAGCAUUCAUGAGAAGAAGCUUUUGGACGGGAGGGAGAGCUGGGAGUUGCUUGAGAAGAUGUCCUUUCCAGUGUACCAAAAUGUCAGCAGUGCUGAUCGAUCACGGUUGAUGCUGAUAGGAAAGAAAUUGGCAUUGAAAUGCAAAGGGUUGCCACUUGCUCUUGUGGUCUUGGGAGGUUAUCUUUCAAGGAACUUGGACUAUGACAUUUGGUCAGGAUUGGUUCAUAAUCUAGACUGGGAAGCUCGCAAGAAUGACGAGCCAGUCUGGAACAUCAUAGCUAGAAGUUACAAUGACCUUCCUAAUCACCAAUUGAAAUCAUGCUUUCUUUAUGUAGCCUCCUUUCCAGAGGACCAUGUCAUCCGCGUAGCAAAACUUUGCAAGCUGAUGAUAUCGGAAGGAUUUAUUCCACAUCGGCCGAAUCAGACAAUGGAAGAUACAGCAAGAGAAUAUAUAAAGGAGUUGGCACAGAGAUGUAUGCUCCAAACUGUUGAAAGGAGCAAGUGGCAUGGCUCAAUAAAGAGUGUAGUUCUCCACGAUGUGCUUCGUGAAUGGGGUAUUGCAGAGGCAAGGAGGGAGGGAUUAUUCAAUAUUUGGAGUAAUCCGACCGAUUCUGAGGCACCCUCCGAUUCGAUAACGGCUUACCGAAUUGCUCUCCAUAACUUUGUUGGAUGUACUGAGAUUAAUGUGGCCAUGCCGAUGCUCCGCACCUUGUUGGUGUUUUUCAAGUCACCAGCAGUAUCACUACUGUGCAGGAUGAAAUGUCUCAGAGUACUUGAUCUUUAUGGCCUAAAAGAACUCAAGUCAUUACCAUCUGGCGUUGGCAACUUGAUACAUCUAAGAUAUUUAGGAUUAGAAAAAUGUGGCAGUGGAUCGAUUGGCAUUCCUUCCUCAGCUAGCGAUCUCUUGAACCUGCAAACUAUGGAUGCAAGAGGGUCAACAGUAAAAUCACUACCAGGACUCUUUUGGACUAUUCCGACCUUGAGGCACCUGUUUCUUAGUGAGGUCAAUCACUGGGUUCCUCCGGAGGUUGGAUGCCUUGGCUCGUUGCAGACUUUGUACUUGUGUGAAGUAUCUUUGUUCCGUGAUGUCAAGAGCUAUCUUUCACACAAGCAACGCAGCAGGGCUAGAAGUGCAAACUAUUCUAUUGCUCUCAGAAACGAGAAAAUAUGGGCUGCCUUCUUAAGAUCUUUGGAGCAAAUGGAGCAGGCCGUGCUCUUACACUUGGAGAGUUGGGAAGUUGCGAAAGGGUUUGGUCGUAGAUAUGCUUCUGGGAGCAGAAUACGAGGGCAGGUCUUUUCUGCGCAACUCAUCAGUAGCAUUUCGCGCCAUAGGCAUCUUCAAGUGCUAGAACUGGCUGGAAGGUGGAAGCACGGGGAUAGCCAGCUAAGCAAGCUCCCUCAUGGCCUCAAAAAGCUCAAGCUGAUAGGUUCUGAACUGAGUGAAGACCCAAUGCCUGUGCUGGGCUUCCUUCCGAAUCUGGUGGUGCUUGUCUUGGAAGACAACGCUUUCAAGUGGAACAGCAUGACAUGCGAUGCGGGAGGAUUUCCUAGGCUGUGCCACCUGACAAUUGACGGCAUAAAAAGUGUUGAGUCUUGGAAUGUUGAAGCUGGGGCAUUUCCUUCACUAACUCAUCUGAAUCUUAUAUCGAGCUUCACUGGGAUGUCCCUUCCUCCUCUAGGACUGUUGCAUGUGACUUCACUUAAGACAUUGCUGCUGAAGCGGCACACUUGGAAUGGGAGCACUAUUUCCUCCAGUAAUGUUGGCAAACUAGAGGAGAUGGGGUGCAAGGUCAUCAUUAGAUGAGAUUGGAAGAAUAUUUAAUCAUGUCAAACUGCCCUUGUCUCAGGAUCAGGAAACUUUAUUGUACGCUUUUCAUCCCAUAAUAACUCAUUUGAUAUCUUUGCAGAAGAUCAAAUAGUCUAUAAAUGGUCUCAUCCGUUUUUACUUGGCUUCCAGGUCUCAUCUUGAUUGAUGCAGCAUUUGGAUGAUCUAAUCUUGCUAUUUUCCUCUCAUUUUUGUACUGUCACAAGAACUACUACUACCUGCACACAAGAUCUUUGGACCUUUGUUAUGAAAUGAAAAUGGAAGUACAUCAUUCUAUACUUAUUCAGUAGCUCAGCAGCACAGCCAAAUGUUGUUCUUCCAGCAAUAGACGUGGGGACUGUAAUUCCAAAUGUGCAGCAAAUAGAAGGAUGCAUAGCUGGUUCUCUGGCUUAGCUGCCCAAGGAAAAAAAAUCCAUUGCAUGCUUCUUCAGAGGCAUUUUUUGUUCGUGCAGCUGCUCUGGAGUGGAAACAUUCGUGUCCAGUGAAUGUUGUGAAUGCUGCCGUAGAAGCAAAGGUAGCUUUGCUCCGACACCCUUGUCACUGUCGUUGCUCCAACGGGGCAAUGAGAGGCCUUUGGUUGGCAGUGUCAUAUCCUGCGAGCUGGUUUGUGUCCAAUACCAAUGGGUGAUCUUCUGCAAGUUCUGCCCAUGCUUAUUUGGUUACUGUUAUUACAACAUCAAGGAUUGGGUGAGAAAGACCAAAUGUGAGGUAAUCGGGUGGGUUAUUUGCUAGACAUCUUUUGCUUCCCACUAGUAGUAUGACUGACAAUUUUGUGUUUACAUUGAGUUAGUGUUUCUGCAGCCAUUUUCCUGCAAAGAUAGCAACAUUUAAUGUACCAUCGACUCGCAUAGUUGUGAAUUGUAUGGUUGGAAGAGUUUCCUAUCCUAUUCUGUAAAUUGCUAAUGUUAACCGAGAAAUUGUUCAACGCCUCUUCCAAACUGUCAAUUGUGGUGUACUCCCUCCAUUCCUAAAUAUUUGUCUUCCUAAAGAUUUCAACAAGUGACUACAUACGGAGCAAAAUGAGUGAAUCUACACUCUAAAAUAUGUCUAUAUACAUCCGUAUGUGGUAGUCUAUUUGAAAUCUCUAAAAAGACAAAUAUUUAGGAACGGAGGGAGUAGUGAGCAGUUGAGAAGGGAGUAGUGAGCAGUUGAGAUUGUGUAUAUUCCUGUUCGGUCGUUUAGCACAAGAAUCCGUUUUGUUAUGUAGGGUACUCCAGUCCAAUAAUGCAGUUUCUGCAAGACAUGGUCAUUCUGUAAAGAAUCCCUAGAAGAACGAAUGAAUUCCUUGGAGUGACAUGAAGUAGGGUAAAUCCAUAAUGCUCAGUUUAGAAUGAAGAGAUACGAGGAUGACUAAUGUUCUGGGAUGCAUUCAUCUGCGGUCCGUGAACUAGACAUGCUACUGCAUUUGAUAGCCUCGAAAUGAAACAUGAUGUGGAAUUGUACCAACCCAAACUCACAUUUCAUACUACACCCCGCCAAUAUCUAUUGUAUUAUGAACUUGAUAGCAGAUUGUUCUCUCCUUGACUCCUUGUGAUGAACUCGCUGCGAUGUAUGCUAAUUGAAGCAGCGUCAAUUAAUAUGGAUUGUACUAUCGAAUUUUAUACUAGCAUAUUGUCCUUCAUCCAACCAAAGCUUGGUCAUACAAAUCUACGAGUGCACGCUAUAAGAUGCGAUACACGAAUUCUACUUGUGAUAGAAAACGAAAACAGGUGAAGAUGAGCUAGAAAUCGUUAGCCAAAUCUGCAAGGAAACACGGACGGUAAGGAAGGAGCCACAUCACACGACCACGUACCACCACUCUCCUUGCUUUAAAACUAGUCCUAAUUUGGCCAGGCAUAAUCAGCAUAAUCAUUACCAUACAUCCAGGGGCUCCAUCUACUAACUUUACCCCAAAAGCCAUGGACAGGAUGCACUGCAAACAUUGAGCCAUGUGAUAUGCGUGCAGCAAAGAGGGGAAAAAGGACAAUUCCGGAAAGAGGCCAACCACAAGCAGGGACAGCAGGCCUACCAUACAUGAGAAUGGCAAGUUUGGAGCUGAAAUCAGACCAUCAAUCAUCUCAUAUCAUACUAACAUGCUUGCAUAACAGAUCGGGUAAGGAACCAAAUGCUAGCACAAGUACAUACGCUCAUCACAUCACAUGCCCACUUGAAUGUUCCAGUUCAAUCGCAU
rnacentral:lncRNA from 1 species